rnacentral:lncRNA from 1 species
GUUCUACAUUGUUAAUGCGUUCAGUGGCGCUAAGGUUGUGCCUCCUCGCCUCAAGUCAGGUAACUUCACUCGCGUUAGCUAUGUCACCUUGACUGCUCCUGUUGGAUCUGUGGACUCGCAUCUCCUUGUCAGCAGUGGAGUCUAUCUGUUCCAGUGGCGCAUUGGGGGCGAUUCUUGGUCAGAUCACUGUCCUAAAGUUCUUCUUCUUAAGAUUGAACAAAUCGUGGCCUUCAAGGGCAAAACAUACGCCCUAGGGUCUUUCGGGUCCUUCUGCAUCAUACACUUGUCACCUAGUCUCAUAAUUCAGAAGUUUAAAGUUGUGUUUGAGGAAGAUAGAACCGAAGAUCUCUAUUGGACAAAUAAAAAAACAUGGCUUGUGGCGUGUGGCGAUGCACUUCUCUUGAUCAAACUUGAGGCAGGAAGGAAGAUAUGCUCGGAGGUUGAGCCCAUCCAGUUCAAGGCCUACAAGCUCGAGUCACUGGACGCCGUGAACAAGAAGGCAAGGUGGGUGAAGUUGGACAGGUUGGAUAACUGGGCCAUCUUUGUCAGCGCGGACGUGCGAUGGGAGGCGUUGUCAUGCAUGAACCCGGAGAGAUGGGGAGGGAAAAGCAACCACAUAUACUUCCCAUGUUAUCAGUCUGACCAACCAUGGGCUGCAGUCAAACUAUGGAAAAAAUAUGAUGACCUUGCGAGAUGUUUGCAGCUCGUGAAUACUGGAAUCCAGUUCCAUAGAUUGGAGUCAACCAGGAUCCUUCCCGGCACAUUUUCUCGCUCCUUUCAGCAAUAAUCUUAGGGCAAUUGAGGGUGUGGCCGGUGAUUAGCUUCUGAUACAGCUUUCUUGGGGGAAUUCUACCAUGUUGCAGUUGCAGGAUGGGUAGUUUACUGAAUGUUCUUUUGGCUUGUCUCAGAACUUAAAAGUUUUCACUGUAAAGAUAACUGAUUCAGCACUCUCCUUUUUUUAGUGGCGAUUACAAGGGAGAUAUAUGUUUUAUUUCUCAUCUACUACAGAUAGUAGAGUUUUCUUGUACUUGGGCAACUUGAUAACAUGGUCUGGGCUGCAACUUCCUUUCAUACUAGAUACCUAAGGUGUUCUUACUGCGACAGAGUAUUUGUGUUGUGGUUGUUGAUUGUUCAUGUGAUGUGCUUGAGCAUAUAACAGUCUCACUGGGUAGAAAUGUGAAUAUUAAGAACAUAGCUUAAGGGUUGCUACAAAUUUUUAACUUACAAUUGCACACUAUUUUAGGUUGGAGAGUUGCAAGAAUCGGAGUGGGAUUGCAAGUCCAUAGCAUUACCUAUAAGCAGGUAUGACUUAGGGUUAAUAUAUUGUGCACAAUGUUAUGCAUUCGCACGCCAAGUUCAGCCAAGAAACAUAUAAGCAGCAUACGUGCAUUUAGCACAAAGUUCAGAAUUUGCACCAAGAAAAACUAGGCAGAUAGAUUGUUCAACAACCAAAUAGCUCUGCAUUUGUCCUUAGCUUCAGCAAACAGCUCUGCUUGCACUUUAUUACCUCUGUUUUUAAAAGGAGAUCAAGCUACAUAUAGAUGUAUGGAACAAAGAAAAGCACAUAGUUAAAUAAAAGCCCACACACAAUGCCGAAGAGUGAUACGAAGAACCUACGAAGGCAUUGUUUCAGGAUGUAAAAUGAAAGCAAUUAACAAGGUUCAGCAAAGACAACAACACGUCAACAUGUAGCACAAGUUUUUGCCUCCAGAAAUGUACACUGUAUAGCAAGCAGAUUAUUACAGAUCCUGAUGUAACUACCCUUGGCUUUUGACAUCUUUGAGCAGUAUAUUCAGGUGGAAGAACUCUUCCCCCGGCGAUUCCUCAAAAGAUAAGUCAGAGGAGCGGAAACUAGAACGAACAUAGAGACUGAACAUCAAGCAGUUCCCAAGUGCAGCCAGCGACAACGAUACAACUGCACGGUACGUGGCCACCCUUUAACUCCAUGCUCCUUUAAAUCCAUCCUCUCUCGGUUCACCAAGUGUCGUGGCUGGUCAUUAUCUUUCUCGGCGAAGAAGAAUGCCCACUUCUUUAGGCCUCCGUCUACCAGCUUCACAUACUUUGCAGAUUGAAAUGAUGAAGAAGGCUUCCUCAUUGCCACCAAGUAGGACAAGCAUGUCAUCACACGCCACUAACUCGCGGGAAAACUUGGAUUGGUCCAUAUUAUCACAGCAAACAACUCUUAGUGCCUCAAAGCAAAAUUGGGGUGCAAAAUGCAUGGUGUAAAUCUUUCUAGAUAUCUUCGCAAUGAUUCGGUCUUUGAUUGCCACCAUAUGCAUGAUCAUAUGCAGGACGUAGCCAGGCCCCAAGCAAAAGGGGCCAUGUCCCGGGGCAUGGCCGUGAAACACUUCCUUAAGGGUUGCUACUGUAGCGUAAUGUAACUACUUUAAUUGCUGUAGCUCUAUGGCUUGCCUGGGCGUGGGUGGAGGCUGGUUAGCAACUGAUCAUAUGCGCAUUUAGAAAAAAUCACAGAGCAACCAAGAAGGGCUCCCAAUUUGCCAAGUCCACAGGCACUGCAGGCUGCUGACACCUGUGAAGAUAUGAAGACUUUAUAGCAGAGCUGGGUCAAUGGGCUAGGUGAAGUUGAAACCCUAGUACUAAUGAGCACGCCCAUAAUGACAAGUGAUCUAUGGGAUGAGAAGAUAGCAUGACCAUAAGAGCAACUCUAGCAGAUUCGCCAUAUAUAUGAUCGUCAUUCGCCAUAUGGAGCGCACUCCAUGUGGACAUGGAGGGUGGGCAUGCGAUGUGCAAAUUCAGAGUUGCCAUAUCUGAGCCUUCAUAAUAAAAAUUGUUUUCCACAUUUAAACACUUCGAUUACCUCCUAAUUUAAACAUAUAGCACAUCAAGCAAAAAUGCACAUAGUUUUUGACAAGUUGCAUGAACAAAAGCAUUUUACCGGCGACAGAUACAAACCAUGUAUUCCCGCCAUGCCCUCUUUUGAGCUUCCUGUUUCGAAUGAUCAAGUCUCGCUGCGACGUACAGAAAUCUCACACCUCUGGAUCCAUUAGAUUCAGAUCCAACAUGAUGAAAUGAUUCCGCUGGGCUAUGCAAUGAUCUCUCGCACGAUCCUCUUUGAUUUAGGGCCUAUGUGCAUUCAUCUCCUGCCGCAUUUUGAGCCUACGCUUUUCCCAAAUUGUCUUUUUCUUCGAUGAGCCAGAGGCUUCGAAUCGAUCAAAUUACGUAUCUUGGACGGAGUCAUGUUUAAAAAGUGACAAUAACGUAUCUUGUCUCGGUGUAUUAAGAAAUGUUUCAUCAUGGAGGGCCGAUCCCCCAAAAUUAAAAAAAAUAAUCACUAAAUCAUAAACAUUGCACAUGUACCACAAUUUCCAUGGCCAUCUCGCAUUCAAUCAAACAAAAAUGAAUACAAGGUAUAGAAUGGCCUUUUUGACCACGUCGUUGUUGCUGAUCCAAUGUGUGACCAAAAAGUUUCGCUGGCCGCCAGGAUGAAUCGAGGUGGGUGAGGGCUACGGGCAUCUAGUUUCCCCAUCUUCUUCUUAUGUCCAUGUGGCACUGGCUGGGGGAGACCACCGCCUUUAUGUGGUGUUGUAGACCUUGCCACCUCUGCGUAGGGAUCUUCAGCGACAAUGUGGACGAGGUGUUGGCCUAGGUGGUGGUGGUCGGUAGUCGAAGGCGCGGGAGGCGUGUUAGCCACUGGAGCUGCAAGAGUUAUGGAAGGUGUAGGAGCCUCCGGAGGCGCGGGAUCAGAUUCCAAAACGACAGAAUCAGACGCGAGGGUCAAGGCACCGUCCAGACCGUCGUAGGUGGGGGACUGGGACGUCCGGAAGAGGUGAAAGACGGCCCUAAGGCAAGGAAGGUGAGCCGGUGGCGCGGGCGAGAAGAGCGGCGGGACGGGGGAAUGCCGCUCGCGCCAAAUACCCCCUCUCCCUGUCAAAUAUGGAGGCUUGCGAGGUGUAUCCGAGGCACACUGCAAUAAUGAUGGCGCUCGAGGGCGGGGUAGCAAUUCUAGUAUGACAAUUGGAGGUGUUUUUUCUUUUUACAGAGAUCGGACCGAUGUUUUUUUCCCGACAAAUAUCGGAGAGAUAUUCGAUAUUCCCCUAAAAACAUCUUACACAAGCUAUUGUGUUCAAAAUAGUGUUUUUUUGAGAAACUUGUGUUCAAAAUAGUUUUUUUAGGGGAAAGCCAAAUUUUAUUCAUCAUAGUCCACAAUGGGUGGGAUACAACUCGGAUCAUGGGGUUGGCCCAACCAUAGGUGGCGCCCCGGACCGAGACGAAGUGGAUAUUUGGCUAAUCUAUGUGCUUCGACAUUAUUAGCAUGACCUUCGAAAGAAAAAUUACACUGAAAUAAAGUUGCUCUAAUAUUAAUAUCCUGGACGAUUGAACCACUUUUGCCUCUUCCUCCACAUGAAAUGUCAGCCACCGUUUGCUUGGAAUCAGAAGCGACGAUGAAAGUAUGCAGGUUGAGUUCUUCCGCGACACUACUAGAAGAAGGGCUAUAGAUGGGAUUGACACUAAUGGCGCACCAGACAAGCGGUGCGCCAUUAGUAUAUACUAAUGGCGCACCACCUUCUGAUACGCCAUUAGAGUUGAAACUACUAAUGGCGCACCAGCCCAGGAUGCGUCAUUAGUAUCAAUUUUUUUUGAACUAGUGCGCCUGUCCAAACAUACUAAUGGCCCAUCCAGACACAGUGCGCCAUUACUAGUUGUAAACUAGUAAUGGCGCACCUGUCGGAAAGUGCGCCACUAAUGUUGUUUUUUAUUAUAUUUUUUAUUCCUUUUUUUGCAAAACUACUAAUGGCGCACUGUUCCACCGUGCGCCAUUACUAGUUUAAACUAGUAAUGGCGCACUGCGGGACAGUGCGCCAUUAGUAUGUUUUUUUUGCAAAACUACUAAUGGCGCACCACCAGAAGGUGCGCCAUUAGUAACCUGGAUUACUAAUGGCGCAUUUAGAGUUGGUGCGCCAUUAGUAAGUGGGCAGCAACAAGAUAUUUUGGACAGCCUCUCCUACCCACACUCACUUUCUCCCCACUUCAUUCUCUUCACCUCCUCCUUGUCUUGGGUGCCUCCUCUUUUUCACCUCAUUUCCACCAUAUAUUCAUUCAAUUUAAGUGGUUAAAUUACCUUGUUUUGAUAGGUAAAUAAGGGGGAAGCUAUAUUUAUGUUGUUCUCCCUACAACAAUAUGCACAUGCACUUUUUAUGGCCUAACUAGAUCUAUGUAUGUUCGUGGUGUUGCAUAUGUUUGUGUUAUUGCAUAUGUGUUUGUGUUUGGAGGUGUACCGGUAUUUGAAACGCGAUAGUUGCCAAUAUUUUGCCGGAAUGUUGAUUCAUUUCCGUUUCGGCGAGAAUUUUGGCAUUAAGCAUUCUUUUUGGUCCUAUUUUUAGGGAAAGUCAUGCCAAAUUUUUUCUUGGUUCUAAAAUAUCGUUUUGCUCUACCCCGCAGGAGACCAUGGUCCGCACGAUGACCGAAGGCAUCGUGAAUAGGUUUUUGAGGUCCGCGAAGGCCGAGAUGCUUCAAAAGAACGAGACGGAGAUAAGAUGUCCAUGUCGAAGAUGCAAGCUGAAGAGCCUUAUCGCGGACCCGGAAUCCGGGCAGGUGCGGGACCACCUGCUCUUGCGUGGUUUCAUGGAUGGCUAUCGGUGGCAAGGUGAUGAAGAUGACUACGAAGUCGUCCAUGGGGGCCGGGCAAGAAAUGAGGAAGGGCAGCAAGACAACCACCGCGGCUCGGGCGGGUGGGAAGACGAAGAAUCCCCAGGAGAUGAUCACGACGGUGAUGCUGUACACAGUCAUCAUGUAGAAGAUGCAGGACAUGAUGAUGAGGAAGAUGCCGGAGCAGACGACGGGCAUGAUCAUGAAGAUGAUGAUGCCGGCGGAGCAAACGACGCUGGACCAUCGAUGGGCUGGGUGCAGGACCCUCAUAUUCAAGAGCUGCUUCUCAAGCAGACGGAUAACGCAAGAGCUGCCGCCCGAGAGAAAGCCAAGAUGGAUCAACUUGAGUUAGACGCGGUUACUCCAUUGUAUGAAGGAUGCAGGCCCGAGGAUACGCGCCUGAAAGUAACAUUCAUGGCUCUGGAGAUGAAGGUAAAACACAAAAUGACCGACGCAUGCUUCGACGAGAACAUGUCAUUCUGGCACGAACGUCUUCCCAAGGGGAACAAGUGCCCGACCAGUUUGGAGGAGGCGAAGAAAAUCGUGUGUCCUCUGGAUUUACCGCACGUGAAAUACCAUGUGUGCAUGAACAAUUGCAUCAUUUAUCGGGACGAGCACGCGGAGUCUAUCAUAUGUCCGGUGUGCGGCGUCACUCGAUACAAGAAGAGGAAGAAAGCUCCUCGAAAAGUGGUGUGGUACUUUCCGAUCACUCCUCGUCUGCAGCGGUAUUUCGCGGACCCUAAGGUAGCAAAGCUCCUGCGUUGGCACGUGGAUAGGGAGGAGAAGAAGCGAGAAGAUGACGCAAAUGAUCCGGAGAUAGAUAAAAAAGACAAGAUGCUGAGUCACCCUAAGGAUGCGAGCCAGUGGCAAGCGUUGAACUUUGAAGACCCAGAAUUUGGGAACGGUCCAAGGAACAUCAUGCUGGGCGCGAGCACCGAUGGAGUCAAUCCGUUUGGCAGCCAGAGAAGCACACAUAGCACCUGACCUGUGUUUGUGUGGAUGUACAACCUUCCGCCCUGGUUGUGCAUGAAGAGGAAGUACAUUCACAUGAGUAUGCUAACUGAAGGACCGAAACAACCAGGGAACGACAUCAGUCUGUAUCUGGGGCUGCUGAAACAGGAGCUUGACACGCUGUGGAAAACGCCAGCCAAUACGUGGGACGCCGCAGAGAAAGAAUAUUUCCCUAUGAGAGCCGCGCUGCUCACGAUGGUGCACGACUAUCUCGGUUACGGAUAUGUCGCGGGGCAGGUGGUCCACGGAUUUUCUGGAUGCGUCAGGUGCAUGGAUGACACAACGUAUCGCCAUCUAGAUAGAGAUCCCGGGUCUUCGAAAACCGUGUUCAUGGGACAUUGAAGGUGGCUUCGCGACGAUGACCCGUGGAGAAAACGCAAGGAUCUGUUCGAUGGUGAAACCGAACCCCGAGGACGCCCGCGUACGAGGAGCGGUGAGGAAAUAGACAAGCUGUUGAAAAAUUGGAAAGACUGCCCACUGCCGGGAAAGAAGCAAAAGGCGCCAGAGCCGGGAAAGAAGCGAAAGGCGCCAGAGCCGCUGCUGAAGGUAUGGAAAACGAGGUCUGUUUUCUGGGACUUGCCGUACUGGAAGAUCCACUGUGUGCCUCACAACCUUGAUGUCAUGCAUAUCACGAAGAACGUGUGCGAGAGUCUGCUUGGUACCCUGCUCAACAUGCCAGAGAGGACCAAAGAUGGGCCAAAAGCAAGGGCAGACUUGAAAUCAAUGGGCAUCAGGCAGGAGCUUCAAGCUAUAUAUGAUGAUGAUGAUGAUGAUGAUGAUGAGGCGAAGCAGGACACGGAAAGUCGUCGCAAAGGCAAAAAGGCCAAGAAGACCGGAAAUGACUACCCUCCCGCGUGCUUCACUCUAAGUCAGGAGGAGAUCGAGCAGUUUUUCACCUACCUCGUAGGAGUAAAACUUCCUUACGGUUACGCGGGGAAGAUAAGCAGAUACCUAGACCCAGCGAAGCUGAAGUUCAGCGGGAUGAAGUCUCACGACUGUCACGUGCUGAUGACGCAGAUACUUCCAGUUGCAAUCCGUGGGAUCAUGGACGCGCACGUCCGUGAAACCCUAUUUGGCCUAUGCAACUUUUUCAACGUCAUCUCUCGGAAGUCUGUUGGCGUGAGGCAACUAAGAAGGCUACAGGAAGAGAUCGUGGUGAUACUAUGCGAGCUUGAGAUGUACUUCUCGCCCGCAUUCUUCGACGUUAUGGUGCAUCUGCUGGUCCAUAUCGUGGACGAUAUCAUCCAACUCGGGCCGACGUUCCUGCACAGCAUGAUGCCGUUCGAAAGGAUGAAUGGUGUCAUCAAAGGAUACGUUCGCAACAUGUCACGUCCAGAGGGAAGCAUAGCCAGGGGCUUUCUGACCGGAGAGUGCAUCUCCUACUGCACGAAUUAUUUAGGCAUCGAGAACCACGUUGGUCUGCCCGUCAACAGGCACCUCGGCAGGCUCGUUGGAUGGGGUCACCGUGAGGGUCGCCGCGAAAUGCAUGUCGACUUCGAGGGUCGACUCGCCAACUUUGAAAGAGCAAACCUAGUCGCGCUACAACACAUAGACGUGGUCGAUCCUUGGGUGGUAGAGCACAAAACCUUUAUUAAGAAGACGUACAAUGACCGAGGCCAACAGAGGACGGACGGAGAUAUACUCAAAGAGCACAACUCAUGUUUCACGCGUUGGUUCAAGCAGAAGCUUCUGUCGUACCCUUUACAUGAGGAUUCUUCCGCGGAAGAACAACUCAUAUUCGCCUUGUCACAGGGCGCCGAGCACAACCUAAUGACCUAUGAGGCGUACGAUAUCAACAGCUACACAUUAUACACCGAUGCCAAGGACUUGAAGAGCGAUGGUUAUCAGAACUCCGGGGUAACGAUGGAAUCCUACACCGGUAACGACAAGGACAGAUACUACGGAAGGAUCGAGGAGAUCUGGGAGCUGAGCUACGCUGGAGAGAAGGUCCCGACGUUUCGUGUCAGAUGGGCCAAGAGCGUCCUAAAAGAAGACCGGUAUUUCACCACCAUGGUUAUACCCGAAGCCAAAUCCAAGACCGCGGGCGCAAACGUCACCGCGAAAAAUGAGCCAUGGGUACUGGCUUCCCAAGUGGACCAAUGCUUCUUCAUUACCGACCCGUCAAAGCCCAGUCGGGUUGUCGUGAGGAGAGGCAAAAGGAAGAUCAUCGGAAUGGAUGGAGUAGCCAAUGAGCAAGACUUCGACAAGUACGGCGACCCGAGGAUCGAACAUGACGACGAUGAUGAAGUAGCAGCAUACACCACAAGAAGAAGCAGGACCACCCUACCUAAAGGACGUCCGUUCCACAGAAGAACUCCAUUUGCGAAAAAGAAGGGCAAGAAGAUUGUGAACAGAUAGCUAGCUAAGAUCGAUUGUAUUUAAAUUGUAGCCUUCAUUUCUCGAUUGUAUUUCAUGGGCACUUUUUGAACUAUCAUGAAUAUUUUUAAAUUUCAUGGACACUCGAUCUCGAUCCCCCUCCAUCUCGAUCGCUAUCCCACCUCGCCAGAUCCGGUCCCCCUCGCCGCCGAGCACCCCCCGGUCCANNNNNNNNNNNNNNNNNNNNNNNNNNNNNNNNNNNNNNNNNNNNNNNNNNNNNNNNNNNNNNNNNNNNNNNNNNNNNNNNNNNNNNNNNNNNNNNNNNNNNNNNNNNNNNNNNNNNNNNNNNNNNNNNNNNNNNNNNNNNNNNNNNNNNNNNNNNNNNNNNNNNNNNNNNNNNNNNNNNNNNNNNNNNNNNNNNNNNNNNNNNNNNNNNNNNNNNNNNNNNNNNNNNNNNNNNNNNNNNNNNNNNNNNNNNNNNNNNNNNNNNNNNNNNNNNNNNNNNNNNNNNNNNNNNNNNNNNNNNNNNNNNNNNNNNNNNNNNNNNNNNNNNNNNNNNNNNNNNNNNNNNNNNNNNNNNNNNNNNNNNNNNNNNNNNNNNNNNNNNNNNNNNNNNNNNNNNNNNNNNNNNNNNNNNNNNNNNNNNNNNNNNNNNNNNNNNNNNNNNNNNGGCAUUACAGUUUGAUGAUAUUUUUAAAAAAAUUAUUACUGUCUUAUAAAAAAAUAUUACUGUUAUGAUUUAAACAAGUUUGAACAUAUUUAAACACAAAUAAGUAUCAAACAACAUUUUAAAUGCAUAAAAAAGAUUUGUGGAGCCUAGGAAUCGAACCCAGGACCUCCUGGUGUGAGAACUGGCUGCUGACCAGUCGAGCUAGUAGAGGGAACUUGGUGUGGAUCAGGUCAGGUGGAAGAUAACCUGUUGGCUCGAGAAGAAAUAAAAAAAAAACAAAUGGCGCACCACGGUGAGGUGCGCCAUUAGUAUGGAUGUACUUAUGGCGCACCUAAGGGUGGUGCGCCAUUAGUAUUGUGCUAUUAGUAUUCGCCCGAUCCCCCCUUCCCUCUCCCCCUCGCCAGUUCCCUCUCCCUCGAUCCACCGCGCCGCUCCUUCCCUCGUCCCUCCCUCCACCGCGCCGCCGCCGCCGCUGCCCCGACCCACUGCGCCGCAGCCGCCCACGCGCCCCCGCCGCCUCCCNNNNNNNNNNNNNNNNNNNNNNNNNNNNNNNNNNNNNNNNNNNNNNNNNNNNNNNNNNNNNNNNNNNNNNNNNNNNNNNNNNNNNNNNNNNNNNNNNNNNNNNNNNNNNNNNNNNNNNNNNNNNNNNNNNNNNNNNNNNNNNNNNNNNNNNNNNNNNNNNNNNNNNNNNNNNNNNNNNNNNNNNNNNNNNNNNNNNNNNNNNNNNNNNNNNNNNNNNNNNNNNNNNNNNNNNNNNNNNNNNNNNNNNNNNNNNNNNNNNNNNNNNNNNNNNNNNNNNNNNNNNNNNNNNNNNNNNNNNNNNNNNNNNNNNNNNNNNNNNNNNNNNNNNNNNNNNNNNNNNNNNNNNNNNNNNNNNNNNNNNNNNNNNNNNNNNNNNNNNCUCCCCGUGACCGCUCUCCACCGCCGCUGCCGACCCCCGCGCCCGCUCCACACCCGCUCCGGCUCCCCCGCGCCCGCUCCACACCUCCGCACCUCCCCACUUCCCCUCCCCUCGCGCUGCUUCACCCGACUAGGUCGUCCCCGUCGACACCGCAUCGUCCCCGCGACCACCGGCCCUCCUCCGCCGCGACGACCAGGCGCCGCCGUCCGCGGACUGCCUCGAGCUCUGUCCCCGUCCGCGCGAAGAUCCCCUCCACUCCGCGGGCAGGGGUUCUUCUCCUGCCGCUGCAGCUACAAGAGGAGAGGAGCACCAGCCAGCCACCACCGACGGACGCCUUAGUUUGGUACGACCUCGACCCCUUCACUGUUUUCUGUUUCAAAAGUAAGUUUGUAGAGCCAACAGGCAUAGUAUCCACUAACUGGAAUUGAGAUAAUUUUAAUGGUAUAUUCGAAGUUAAUAUUUCGCUUAAUCUAGUCUACGUGUUUGGUUUUUCUAACUGAUAUGAAUGCCAUGAUUUCCAAGAACAAGAUAGGAUUGAUGGGCCCCUGAAGCGGUUGCCAUUAACCUUGCAGUGCAUAUUUGCAACAAGGUAUUUUAGCAUUUACACAUUUAGUAUAAUUUUAGAAUUGUUUCUCAGUUUGGCACACUACACAUUAUAGCAAAGAUUCUCUAUCUGGCACACUACACAUUUUAGCAUACUACACAUUUUAGCACUGUUUUGGCAAUGCACUGAUUUGGAGUGAUAUCAUUGGCUCAUUGCUGCCUUUGUGCAAUGCAGAACUAUUAGGAGUGAUCUGGAGCAGGAGGGCGACGCUGAGCUCAGUUGGGGCCUCCUCGGCGACCGCUGCGGCGAGGUCUGUGCACUCAGUCUCUGAGUCCCCGCCGCGGAGAGUUGUACAUACGCCAAGACCUUCUACGGUGAGCCCCUCACUCACUCAGCACCGAGUACUCUGCAAUCUGGUCCUCUAUCAGUAGCUUUUGUAGUAGUUCUUGCAGCGAAUAUGUCUUCCUGUUCAAAUACAGAAGCAACACCCGGCGAAUAUAGAAGCAACACCUGGCGAGUACACCCGGCGAGAAUCAUGAAGCACUUUUCUUUUAAUUAAACACCUGCAGUAGUAUACUUGACUGAAUUUAAACACUUGCAGUAGUACUUUGAUGAGUCUGCUUGAUCAACUAAAUUUAAACACUUACAUUCUUUCUACUGCUGCUUGAUCAACUGGAGUACUCUGGUACUUGAUCAGUAGCUGUUUUGGUGUAGCAAGUGCAGAAUCUGUAGUACUCCAUUUGGUACUCCAUCUGGAGACUUUAACUGGAUCAGAUUAGGUACUCCAUUUGCUGUAGUACUCUAGUUAACUGAAACUAGUGACAUCACUUGAAGCAACUUAAGUCUGAAUAAUCAAAUUCAUCAUACACUAUUACUUGAAUAAAAGAUUAUGUGCUUGCAGUGGAGUGCAUGCGUUUUGGAGUAGCAUCAGUAGCUACUGUUACUUUUCCACAUGAAGUACAGUAAUGGAGUAGCAAGUGUACCAGUAUUAUUGGAGUAAAAAAUUCAGUUAAGUUGUGCAGUAGUGUGCUCCUUCUUGUUCUUCUAUGAAUCUUUUAAGUUAAAUGAAACCUUUUUACUCCAGUAGAAUUAGAUGAAUUUUGUCAGUACUGUGUAUUUAAAUGAAUCUUUUGCUGUGUAUUUAAAUGAAAGGGGAGUAUAAAUACUGUUUGGUUAAAACCAAGAUUCAGUAUCUUGAACUACUCCAGUUGUUUAAAUUUGACUUGGUGUAGUAAUCCAAUACUCCAAACUGUUGAUGGACAGAUGGCCAUUAGUUGGUGUAGUACUGCUUGGAGUAGCUUGCUGUAGAGAUUUGUGUAUUCUGCAGUUGAGUGCCAAAAUAAACCUUGCUAGGUGAAUCUUGUUUGCAUUAGGAGUAAUCGCUGGAAAUUUACUGAAUUUUGUUUCCAUUAGAUGCACUAUUGGAGUAUUGGAUUACUGCCUCUGUUUUUAAUUAACCACUACUAGAAAAAGGGCUAUAGAUGGGAGCUCUGUCAGUAGCUAACUGCCUCAUGUUCUGCUCUGUGAACUGCUAUGUGGUGCUGCUCAUGGAUGAUGGUAGGAAUUUAUGCAAACUCAGUGAUUGUUGCAGCCAAGAAAUGCCUAACAACUAUUCUGCUCAUGAUCUUAUUUUUAUUUCUUUGAUGAAAGUUGGUUCUUUUCUUCCCAAGUUCACAAAAAAUCUUUUACAUUUCUAGUGGUUGCCAAAAGCAUAAUAUGACCAGGACAAACAUAAACUUUGAGGCUGAAAGGAAAUCAAGUAAUGAACCACAUAGGAAUAGAAGGUAAACAAACUAUGCUAGUUGAGAAUGUACUUCAGGAGUCGAUCAGAAGUGCGAUGUCUCAAUAUUUCCUGAAAACCCAUAUUGGCUAGGAUAAUUUGCUUUUAUUACCUUAUUUACACCAAGUUUUAGUUAAACAAUGAUACUUGAAUAAUUUUGUGCUAUUUCUGUUAUGGUUUUGUGGACAGUAUUUGACCUUAUGGUAACUAGUUGGGGUCAGGUUUUGGGGUUUUGAUUAUUGGUAUGAAGUACUGAGGAUCUUAUUCACACCAAGUUUUAGUUAAACACUGGUACUAGAAUGAUUUUGUGCUACUUCUGUUGACAGAGAAUGGCAUGUUAAUACCAUAUAGGUACCCAAUGUAUUUUCCAUGUUGUGAUGGAGGCCUUUUUUGCCUUGUCCACCCGAGAGGCCCUUGAGUUUGCUGGAAUGUCGAUUAACUUCCGUUCCGGCAAAUUCGGGUACUCCAUAUGUCCUAUUUUCAGCAAAGGUCAUGCUGAAAUUUUCCGUGAAUUUUAGCAUGACUUUGCUAAAAAUAGGACAUAUGGGGUACUUGUGACUAAUGCAUGGGCCGGGGUAUCUUAGUAGUUAAUUAAGUAGGAUCAAGUGCCCCGGCGUACUUGUGACUAAUGCAUGGCUUUUAGGGUGCCUCGGUGUCGAUAAAAACCGAAAUGAUGAAAGCUUAGGCUUUUAGGGUGCCUCGGCGUCGAAAAACCCUCAAUGAUAAAAGCUUAGGUUUUAGGAUGCCUCGGUGUCGACAAACCCUAAAUGAUGAGACCAUGAUCUUGUUCCUUGACAAUAACCAACUUUUUAACCAAACUUUGUUCCUAUUUAGAGAGAAAUAUGGCCAACAACAAUGAGGCCGGGGGUUCGGGCGUCAAGGCAUUCUGGAAGCUAUCCCAGGAGAUGGAGGAACAACCUCACUUGUAUGAGGACGCCGCCUUCCCCACCGAUCCUGAGACCACUGAUGGUACCGCCGAGGAUGACCCCAUUGAUGCCACCACUAAUGGUGCCGCCGAGGAUGCCACCACUGAUGAUGGCGGCGCACGCACAGAUGGCAGCCAACCGAAGAGGCAACAAAAGAUCCAGCGCCCGACCAUGCUCCGCACCCUCAAGGAGGAAGUUACUGAAGUGGACUCCGACGGGAAUCCAACGGCGCCCGAAAGAAUAGUCAAGGGGUACUCGCUUCAGCUCGGGUGCAUUCUCCGGAGCACCGUCUCGAUCAACACCAAGAACCUGAGGCAUCCUGACCGAGGGAAUUUGCGCAACCUCCUCUUCACGAAGCUGCACGAACGAUACAAGUUCCCCGCUGAAUUUUAAAACACAAGCCUCAAAGGGAAUAAAGUGAACAAUGCUGCCCUCACGAAGAUGAGCAAGGCCCUGUCUACUUGGAAAAGCAAUGUGAAGAGAAUGAUCAAGAAAGGUGAGAGUUAUGAGAAGAUCAAGGAGAAAAAUCCUUCGAUCACCGAAGAUGACUACAAUGACUUCAAGAUCAAUUGCUCGAGCACCGCAAACUCCGAAUCAAGUAAGUGGGGGAAAGAAAUGCGGGAGCUGAACUUAGGGGAACACACACUCGGUCCCGACGGUUACAGAGUGGCGGAGCCUAUAUGGGACAAGGAGGAGGCGGACCGUGCCGAGCAAGGCCUACCGCCCCUCUUCGAUAAAUACGGUGACAAGCAGACCAGGAACUUUGUCAGGGCCCGGUACAAGAAGGACCCGAAAACAAAGGAGCUUACCACGGAUCCGAAGACCAGGGCGCUUGAGCUUGUUCUGGUAAGGAAUACACCCCCGUGUAAUUAGCUCCAUAUGGUUGCAUUCUAAUUAAUGAAGCCAAAUUUCUAAAUGGUUCACAUUCCUUCCGCAGGCGACUGAAAGCAGUAGCGCGGGGUCGACUAAGAGCAACCCUUGGGACACCACUCUAAAUAGGGCAUUGAAUGUAAUGAAGAACAAGGAUAAGCUCAGUAAGCCGACGUCAGCUGGUCGUGUGGCCGGCAAAGGCUUGUCGACAAAAUGGUCGUCAUACUAUAACACUAGUGGGCGAAAGGAGAAAAAGACCAGCUUGGAAAGCCAGGCACGCGAGGUUCAAGAACUCAGGGCACAGGUGGCGCGGAUUCCGGAGAUUGUCCAAGAGCAAGUGGAACAACAACUCGGAAGGAAGAUCACCACCAUUGUGCCUACCUUGAUCCAGGGGAUUAGUGCGUGGAUUGCGGGCGGCCAACAGGGGCCGCCCCCGAUUCCUAGCUUCACGGCCAGCAACUCGCAGAACGCGAUGGCAGGGCCAUUGGUGUCUCCGACGCCGGCACGGGAGCUUAAUGCACCCGGGUGUACGCCGGCCGGUACCUCUGCAGCAAGCGGCCCCUCCGUCAACUGCACACCCGCCGUUGGCGGUGCCUCGACAUUAGCCGAGCUCGACGCCAUCAUCACGGUAACUAAUUAAGCCUCUCUCGACCGAGGACUUCAUCUCCUUUCCUUUGACUGGGCAUCCCUGACGCCCUACAUGUUUUCGCAGGGCGCCGCCGAUGUUCCGUGCACUCUCCGGCACUUCGUGAACAACGAAUUGGUCGAUGUAGCCAAGGGAAAAAUCGUUCAACCGGGAAACCCCUUGUUCCACGGUACCCAGAUGCCACCCAACUUGUUUAGGGUUCAACUGGUUCGGGUGCUGCCAGGCUGCGACGAGUUGUUACCUCCGAUUCGACCCAUCAGGGCCGACGAUGAUGACGUGAUGACCCUCAGCGCCUGCCUGAGCCGGCCCCUGCUUUGGCCGAAGAGCCAGAUUCGUUUGGGGGCGGGGGACACCACCCCAAAGACAACACCGCCAGUCGUGCCGGCGCCAAGUCGGCCCCAUGGGAAGACCGCCGCAACGGUGCCGGACAUCCCUAUGCCACUGGAUCCAAACAUGCAUAUGGCACAGGAUCAGAACGACGACGACGACGAUACAUUUGCCAACGUCGAUCAGUACUUUGCCGAUCAUGGGUACGGUGGCGACUUCAUGGGGCCUCCUUCUCAAGAACCCAACCCAACAAAAGACGUGCACGAUCUAGCUGAUACCGCGGAGAAGCCAAGUUGCAACAGGCGUCGUCUGCAGUUCAGCUCUCAGGAGACGCCUCCAGCUACCGACUUCACCGAGCCUCAGAUAGGCGAGGUGCGAAAUAUUAUCAGCCCCAACACACUCAAGAAGGCGGUCUGUGAGCAGAACUCGGUCCCAUUACAGGAGAAGAAGAAGGCACGCAAAAGAAAGACUAACAAGGGUGCGGGCCAGCCGGCACCGAGUACGAUCCGUGCUCAGGACGGGCCACCUUCACAUGAGGAUUUAAUGAGGAGGCUGCAUGUGGCGGGUAGGCCGAUGCUACCGAGAAAUAUGCUCGAUGCGGCAACCUGUGCUAUGCGGAGUCUGCAUGACAGUGUUCUUUCUUUGGAGAAGCGGUGUCUCAGAGAGAAGGAUGUGGCAUACCCGGUUUUCGCGGCCAAGGUGCCAGAGGGCAAGGGCUUUGUGGAUAACUCCAUCGGGGGUACGAUCGUCCUGCGGUUUGAUGACAUCCACGCUAUGUUGAACCUUCAUCCGCUGCACUACACCUUCGUUCGGCUAUUUUCGCUAAGUAUGGAGAUGCGGAUCAUUCGCGAGAAGACCCCGGACAUCGUGAUAGUCGACCCCUUCUACAUGCGUGCCAAGAUCUUGGGCAGCGCUGGGGACCGGCAAGUCGCGAGUUCUUACCUCGAAGGCGUCAUUCUGGCAAACCAAGAUAAGGAUAACUUCCCCGUGCCUUACUUUCCCGAGUAAGUCCUCCCCUCAACCGCCCCGUAACAUAUGAAUUCUUAGAUUUUGAUCGUUUUUCUUUUAACAUUCCGUGUUUUCUGCAGUGACACACAUUGCACGCUCAUCCUCCUAAGCCCCAAAUAUUCCAUGGCCACGUAUUUCGAGCCGGACCGUCAUUCGAACGUAGACUACACAAAUGUCAAGAAGGUUCUUGAUGAUGUUCUCCCCGGCGACGCCAAAUCUGGAGGCACCUUCACCAGGCCUAUUCGUAAGUACGGCAAGCACGUGUUCUCCCACUAUACGAUGUUCUGCUGCGUCAAGCAGCCGCCUGGCGGUCAGAAGAGUGCCUACUACGCCAUCCAUCACAUGCGGGCGAUCGGACGGGACCAGCAUCAACUUCUGCUACCGAGUAAACUCAAAGAUUGGGCCACGAGCAUGUCGGCAAUCCAGGACGCGGACAUCAGACAAGAAUUCUUUCGCAUCCAGUCGGAGUUUGCGGAAAUCAUCUAUCAAGAUGUCCUUCGUACCUCGGGGCAGUUCUACCUCAGAAAUCAACCAUCCAACAGUGACAUCGACACAACGCUACAAAUGCAGGCUGACAACGACCGUUAUUUCAUGACUCCCACGAUUGACGGCGGCUUCAUCCACGCUCCGGUCCCUUGAGUCGAGUCGAAAGCAGUGAUGCUGUGUCUAGUUCGGAAACAUCGAUUGGCUCAUGUUGUAAUUAAACUUUAAUGAACUUGUAGUAUGUCUCUUUGGUUUCGAGAGUCGUUCAACUUAGAUGUAAUCGAUGCUAUUAAUGUCUUGCUUUUCUCUUCCGAUCGUUCUGUUGCAUACUUAUAUAUUGCUUAUGUAUUGUCUGUGAAUUGGUACUAACGUUUCGUUUGGCUACUGCAUAGCGAUGCCGUCGUAUGUCGUGUACAAGGGUAAGGUUCCCGGAGUCUACGACGACUGGGAGGAGUGUCGGAGACAGGUUCACCGAUUCAGCGGUAAUAGUUACAAAGGGUACACCACUAGGGCCGAGGCCGAAUCUAGAUACGCCCGCUAUCUAGCGGGAGAGGGGAGGGAGCGCUAGAGGAACCGGAUAAAGACGAGUUUCAUCGUGAUGAUGCUCAUCGUGAUGACCGCAACUCUCUUCUAUGUGAUGGUAGUUUAGAUGAUCGAUAUCGACUUGUAAUAUGAAGACAAACUCGCUACUCGCGGUCUCGAGACUUGUAAUAUAAUGUUCUAUCUUUGUUCGGUCUUUUCAAUUCGGAGACUAAUAUGAUGAAUUGUAUUCGGAGACUAAUAUGAUGAAUUGUAUUCAGAGACUAAUCUUCUAUUGUAUUCGAUGAAUCUAUUGUUGAUGUGUGCUGUCUAUAUUUUGUCCAAUUAUACAUUUUGUAACCUGUGCAAAAAACAGAAAAUAAAAAAAUAAAAAAACCUAAUAUUCAUACUAAUGGCGUAUCACAUCAUAGUGCGCCAUUAGUAUGCCAAAGGAUACUAAUGGCGCAUCAUUAAACAGUGCGCCAUUAGUAUGCCGAAGUUACUAAUGGCACAUCUUGUUGUUGUGCGCCAUUAGUAUGCCAAAGCACCUGGGUAUACAUGGCCCCCUGGGAGGCAUACUAAUGGCGCACUGUUGUAUAUACUAAUGGCGCAUCUGAGGUGCGCCAUUAGUAUACCAAAUACUAAUGGCGCACCAGUGGUGCGCCAUUAGUAAAAUAUACUAAUGGCGUGGCAUUAAUGGCGCACCUCUAAUGCGCCAUUAAUGGCCAAAUUAGGUGCGCCAUUAGUAGGCCUUUUCCUUGAGAAUGCACCCGAGCUGAAGCGAGAAUUCCACUUCAGUAACUUCCUCCUUGAGGGUGCGGAGCACGGUCGGGCGCCGGUCCUUCCGUUGCCUCUUCGGUUGGCUGCCAUCUGUGCGUGCGCCGCCAUCAUCAGUGGUGGCAUCCUCGGCGGCACCAUCAGUGGUGGCAUCAAUGGGGUCAUCCUCGGCGGUACCAUCAAUGGUCUCAGGAUCGGUGGGGAAGGCGGCGUCCUCAUACAAGUGAGGUUGUUCCUCCAUCUCCUGGGACAGCUUCUAGAAUGCCUUGAUGCCCGAACCCCCGGCUUCAUCGUUGUUGGCCAUGUUUCUCUCUAAAUAGGAACAAAGUUUGGUCAAAAAGUUGGUUAUUGUCAAGGAACAAGAUCAUGGCCUCAUCAUUUAGGGUUUGUCGACACCGAGGCAUCCUAAAAGCUAAGCUUUUAUCAUUGAGGGUUUUUCGAUGCCGAGGCACCCUAAAAGCCUAAGCUUUCAUCAUUUCGGUUUUUAUCGACACCGAGGCACCCUAAAAGCCAUGCAUUAGUCACAAGUACGCCAGGGCACUUGCUCCUACUUAAUUAACUACUAAGAUACCCCGGCCCAUGCAUUAGUCACAAGUAUCCCAUAUGUCCUAUUUUUAGCAAAGUCAUGCUAAAAUUCACGGAAAAUUUCAGCAUGACCCUUGCUGAAAAUAGGACAUAUGGAGUACCCGAAUUUGCCAGAACGGAAGUUAAUCGACAUUCCAGCAAACUCAAGGGCCUCUGGGGUGGACAAGGCAAAAAAGGCCUCCAUCACAACAUGGAAAAUACAUUGGGUACCUAUAUGGUAUUAACAUGCCAUUCUCUGUCAACAGAAGUAGCACAAAAUCAUUCUAGUACCAGUGUUUAACUAAAACAUGGUGUGAGUAAGAUCCUCUGUCAGUACUUCAUACCAAUAAUCAAAACCCCAAAACCUGACCCCAACUAGUUACCAUAAGGUCAAAUACUGUCCACAAAACCAUAACAGAAAUAGCACAAAAUUAUUCAAGUAUCAUUGUUUAACUAAAACUUGGUGUAAGUAAGGUAAUAAAAGCAAAUUAUCCUAGCAAAUAUGGGUUUUCAGGAAAUAUUGAGACGUCGCACUUCUGAUCGACUCCUGAGGUACAUUCUCAACUAGCAUAGUUUGUUUACCUUCUAUUCCUAUGUGGUUCAUUACUUGAUUUCCUUUCAGCCUCAAAGUUUAUGUUUGUCCUGGUCAUAUUAUGCUUUUGGCAACCACUAGAAAUGUAAAAGAUUUUUUGUGAACAUGGGAAGAAAAGAACCAACUUUCAUCAAAGAAAUAAAAAUAAGAUCAUGAGCAGAAUAGUUGUUAGGCAUUUCUUGGCUGCAACAAUCACUGAGUUUGCAUAAAUUCCUACCAUCAUCCAUGAGCAGCACCACAUAGCAGUUCACAGAGCAGAACAUGAGGCAGUUAGCUACUGACAGAGCUCCCAUCUAUAGCCCUUUUUCUAGUAGUGGUUAAUUAAAAACAGAGGCAGUAAUCCAAUACUCCAAUAGUGCAUCUAAUGGAAACAAAAUUCAGUAAAUUUCCAGCGAUUACUCCUAAUGCAAACAAGAUUCACCUAGCAAGGUUUAUUUUGGCACUCAACUGCAGAAUACACAAAUCUCUACAGCAAGCUACUCCAAGCAGUACUACACCAACUAAUGGCCAUCUGUCCAUCAACAGUUUGGAGUAUUGGAUUACUACACCAAGUCAAAUUUAAACAACUGGAGUAGUUCAAGAUACUGAAUCUUGGUUUUAACCAAACAGUAUUUAUACUCCCCUUUCUUUUAAAUACACAGCAAAAGAUUCAUUUAAAUACACAGUACUGACAAAAUUCAUCUAAUUCUACUGGAGUAAAAAGGUUUCAUUUAACUUAAAAGAUUCAUAGAAGAACAAGAAGGAGCACACUACUGCACAACUUAACUGAAUUUUUUACUCCAAUAAUACUGGUACACUUGCUACUCCAUUACUGUACUUCAUGUGGAAAAGUAACAGUAGCUACUGAUGCUACUCCAAAACGCAUGCACUCCACUGCAAGCACAUAAUCUUUUAUUCAAGUAAUAGUGUAUGAUGAAUUUGAUUAUUCAGACUUAAGUUGCUUCAAGUGAUGUCACUAGUUUCAGUUAACUAGAGUACUACAGCAAAUGGAGUACCUAAUCUGAUCCAGUUAAAGUCUCCAGAUGGAGUACCAAAUGGAGUACUACAGAUUCUGCACUUGCUACACCAAAACAGCUACUGAUCAAGUACCAGAGUACUCCAGUUGAUCAAGCAGCAGUAGAAAGAAUGUAAGUGUUUAAAUUUAGUUGAUCAAGCAGACUCAUCAAAGUACUACUGCAAGUGUUUAAAUUCAGUCAAGUAUACUACUGCAGGUGUUUAAUUAAAAGAAAAGUGCUUCAUGAUUCUCGCCGGGUGUACUCGCCAGGUGUUGCUUCUAUAUUCGCCGGGUGUUGCUUCUGUAUUUGAACAGGAAGACAUAUUCGCUGCAAGAACUACUACAAAAGCUACUGAUAGAGGACCAGAUUGCAGAGUACUCGGUGCUGAGUGAGUGAGGGGCUCACCGUAGAAGGUCUUGGCGUAUGUACAACUCUCCGCGGCGGGGACUCAGAGACUGAGUGCACAGACCUCGCCGCAGCGGUCGCCGAGGAGGCCCCAACUGAGCUCAGCGUCGCCCUCCUGCUCCAGAUCACUCCUAAUAGUUCUGCAUUGCACAAAGGCAGCAAUGAGCCAAUGAUAUCACUCCAAAUCAGUGCAUUGCCAAAACAGUGCUAAAAUGUGUAGUAUGCUAAAAUGUGUAGUGUGCCAGAUAGAGAAUCUUUGCUAUAAUGUGUAGUGUGCCAAACUGAGAAACAAUUCUAAAAUUAUACUAAAUGUGUAAAUGCUAAAAUACCUUGUUGCAAAUAUGCACUGCAAGGUUAAUGGCAACCGCUUCAGGGGCCCAUCAAUCCUAUCUUGUUCUUGGAAAUCAUGGCAUUCAUAUCAGUUAGAAAAACCAANNNNNNNNNNAACCAAUAGCGGAACCUGGAUGCUCAUAUUGGCUCCUACAUAUUCUACGAAGAUCUUUUAUCGGUCAGACCGCAUAACAACAUAAGUUGUUCCCUUUGUCAUCGGCAGGUGACAAUGAAUGCAAGAAGGUCACGAGUUGAACCCAACAGGACAAUGAUGGAGUGCAAUAAUCCAUGUGGUAGGUCCGCCCAGCCUUCGGGUCCAAACAUGACACAGUGCACGGAGAUGGGGGUGUUGGAGCUCUGGUUGAUGUUUUGCAUGAUAUCAGCUCCAAAUUCUGCAUUAAGGAUCAUGAAAGGACAACAAUUUUAGCAAUGGACUUGAGUUAACUAUAUAAUAUAAAUUGUUGUCACUAUUUUAAUUCACUUGGUACUAAUACAACUAUGAUAAUUAUACAAACACAAUAAAAAUGUUUGUAGAAACUGUAAACAUAAUACACAAUAGAGUAAAGAUUAGGGUAUUGCCAUCCAAACGUGCAUGUGCCUCAAGAAAAUUCGAUCAUGACAAAAUUCAUCAACAUUUGAAAAUAAAAUGCAAGUUCUGUAUUUUUCUUUCCAUCGAAUGUUAUUUAUAUGUGUUGCACAACAGGUUUGGCUCUUGUAUCCACCUCGAUCUCGGGCCCGCACAUACGCGAUAAAUUUCAUCAACAUUUGAAAUUAAAAGGUGCAAGCAAUAUUGAAAUACUAAGAUUGUUCUACACUGAUAGUGGUAAACCCUUGAACUAUUUCAUAGUUUUCAUAUAGUAUAAACACAACAGGAUCACACAUCCACCAACAACACAUACACUCAAAUCCCCAAAUCAUCCGGUCAGGCUAACAAGAACAAAAGUGCGAUGAGCGCGUCAGAGGAGGUCACCCCCAAUGGGGGUGAUGGCGGGACAAGGAAGAUGAUCCUGGGCAGCCUUGUGCGGUGGAGAACUCUGUUUGACCGUGGACGGUGGCACCGGUCAGUGAAUAUAUAUACUCGGCCAACCCACGAGACCAUGUCCUACACAUAAAUUGACUUAACCUAGAUCACAUCGUAUCCUACAUAUUUGGGACUCAAGCUUGACUCAAACACGUGAACUCCUACUAGUAAAUCUACAUGACUUUGGUUAGUCCCCAAAGAACUAAAGCCACGUGACAUGCAAGCACCAACUACGUCAUGUUCCAAACAAAACAAUCAAGAUUAUGCUAACACUAGCGCCGGCCCCCUGCACCACCAAUGGUUGUCAUGGGUUCUCAACUCCAACAUGAGGUGGGGAAGGUCUCGUUCACGAUACCGGCAAUCACUCCAAAGCUGCGUGUAGGUACAAAUCAGAGCAAGGGGGCAGAACUCGACAUCAACUUGGUUCCUUCAUGAGUCCGGCAGCCAGCAAGGAAAAUGAAGUGGGCAAAGUCAACCUCAACCAGGCUCAUCCCCUACCCCCUGGAGCCGGUAACACGAAAGCCAAGCACCACAAAGAUAAGAAUAGCCUCAAGGGUAAGCCAAGGAAGGAGGUAGAUCAAUCCUUGGUGAACACCAGGGCGGUGUUGGGUAAAUGCAUGGGACGUGAAAAGUGAGUCUGGUAGUGAGUUUGUGACGACACCUAGUUACACGGGUCCUGGUCUGAACAAGAAGGCAUGAGGUGAGGGUAAUGGAGGUGGCAUGAGCAACAUAGGUCUGUUAGGUGGUAAGGAAGCUAUCGGCCCAUGGGUUGUCGAUGAAUGACAUGUGAUAAGGAAGGCACCUGUCAGGAGAAAUGAGUUGCCUGAUCUAGAACUGUUGGGGCCUCAGGCAGUCCCAGAUAGUUGAAGAGCUAGUUUUCCUCGUGCGCACAUACACCACUCGAUGAUUAUUUUACUUCUAAAACUCGACAAUGUGAAAUAGUUUCAAUAAUCUUAGGUGGAUGCUAGGCCGCAGGAAUUAUAUUACGCAUGAUGGUAAGGGCAAUGGUGCCAACAUUGCGUUGUUCUGAGAUGAAAGAACUAAAAUAAAAAAGACUGCCAUAUAUGACCUGAGGUACAUUGAUGUCUUUAUUCAAGAUGAUUCCCAUGGCCCGAAGUGUCGGGCUACAUGGUGAACCAAGGAGCCAGGAAGACGUUACAUCUGGAGUUUACUCAAAAGAAUAAAGCCAAAUGCUCAUGAACACUUGUUGAUGAUAGGUGAUUUUUAUGAGACGAUGUGGCAACAUGAGCACUUCUUAGUAGCUUGGAUAUCCGACAGAAAAAUACCAAUUUUAGAGAAGCCUUGUUCUAGUGUGAUAUUCAUAAUUGGGGCUAUAAGGGGCCAUCUUGGACAUGCGAUAAUAAACAGUAUGGCAAAAGCAAUGUGACCGUCGGGUUGAAAGUGCAGUUGCAUCGUCGGGUUGGUGUGAUUUAUUCAAAGUGAACAGUGGUACACACAUAUGCUCCAACCACUUUCCUCUAUGGCUGCAAUACGGGAGACAGACCAAGGUGCAUAGCAACGUGAAAUCCUUUCGGUAUGAGUAGAUAUGGGAAAGAGUACCGUCGAUGGAGAUUGAAGUCCCUGGACGAUGACUGCACUAAGUUGGGAGUGCUGCAACAGGAUGUUUGGUCCUGGACAUGAAAGAUUUUGGGCCAUGAUAAGGAGUACUCAUUGGCUGAGAAGGAAUAUUAUAGUCACAUACUAUAUGCACCAUCUUAUUGGUUGCGAACUGUUGAAAUAUAUUGCCUGCCUCCCUCCAUCAGUUCGGACUUUUGGAUGAGUUGGCUGGAGCAUGAAUUCAAUAUGGUAUCCGAGCCAAGAGGUCUUGAGUUCAAGACCCUACCGACGCAGUAUUAAAUAAAAUGAUUUUGCGGCCUACAUCGACCCCACGUCUAAGGACUAAAAUAACCUAGACGUGAGGGGGAGUGUUGAAAUAUAUUGCCCGCCUCUCUCCAUCAGUUCAGACUUUUGGAUGAGCUGGCUAGAGCAUGAAUUCAAUACGGAUGGUCUGGAAAGCAUCUUAAGAAAGCAAGUCUUGGAAGGGAGGUUAAUUGCUAGGGGAGACUCGGUGUCUCUAAACUAAUGUUUGUUGAUGGAAGCCUUUUGUUCUUCAAGGCCAUAGGAAGAGAGGCGAGGGUAGUGAAGGACACUCCAAAUCUAUUUCAAAGGUGUACAUGAUAGCUUCUUAGCCCAGCUAAAUGCUCUUUAUUAUUUAGUGAACACUGCCCGCAUGUCCAGUAAGAGAUAAAGGUAACCCUUGGUGUUGUAACUUCCACUUUUGAGAGUAAAUAUUUGGGUUUACCAACCCCAGAAGGUAGGAUGUUUGACUCGAAUUUCAAUCGAUCAUGGAAAGGUUCACAAAAAUGUGCAACGACUGGAUUAAAAAGUAUAUGACCCAUGCAACUAAAGAGAUCUUGAUCAAGUAAGUGGUUCAAGCGCUUCUCACUUACUUGUUUGGAUUGUUCAAAUAUCCUUGGGCUUUUUUGAAAAGUUGGGCUUUUUGUGGUAAGUAUGAAAAACUUAUCUGGGACUUUAGGUGGGGCGGUGAGUAAGGACAUCACAAGUCCAUUGGCUCUCCUGGUACCAACCGGUAAAACAAAAGAGAGGAGAUGUUCUAGGAUUAUGGGAUAGGUAUAUGUUUAACCAAGCUCUCUUGGAAUGGCAAGGGUGGAUACUCAUUCACAAGCCGGAUAGUUUAUGUUCUAGAAUCUUGAAAUGAGAAUAUUAUCCUCGUGUGAAUAUUCUAGACAUGGUCAUUUCCUAUUAUGCAUCGCCGGCUUGGCGUUAAGAUACUCAAGCAAAUACAUCAUCUGGCGUAUAGAGAAUGGAUGAAAAAUUCAGAUUCAGAGAGACAACUGGAUUCUAAGAUAGUAUGGCCUCAGGUUACCAAAUUCGCUAGAAACUCGAGGUUGAGGUAGGUUAACCAGUUGAUUGUCUCAAUAAAAAUGAAUGGAAUAUUAACCUUGUCCAUAGGCUAUUUUCUGACGUCAAUGCAGAGGAGAUAUUUCGCAUAAAUCACCCUUCUACGUGAUGGAUAACUUGCUUAUAAACUUGCCACCCAACUCACAUUCAGGUACAAUUCCCCUGCUUCUAGCUCUUCAAGUGCGACAUAUAAUUGGAGUAUUUGGGGUGUGUUUUGGAGAGCUAAGGUUCCAAAGAAGGUUAAGGUCUUUGGCUGGAGGUUGCUACUGGCUCACUGGCUACACAAUUUUGUAAAUUUAUAAAGGUGCUGAGUGUAACACCAUUUAUGCUAUUUCUGGUAACAAUGUGGAGCUUGAAUUCCAAUCCACGAUGGCUUUGUGGUGUUGGCUAGUGUCCCAUCAAUACUUCUUUUUCCCACCUGUCUAAUGAUUGCAAUCAGUCUAUAGUAAUAUACAAGUCUAGUGUUUUCCUCCAAUAAAAUAAAAUAAACACAACUCGAAGAUGAACUAAAUUUUUACAUUAAUUUUCCUAGAAAAAAAUAGGGUGAGUUCUUCUCCUACCUUCUUUGGUGUUGACAGCGGAGGGCGAAGUGGAGGCAACAACUACAUUCUCCGAUGCCAGUCGUGGUAAGACGAGGCCAUCGGAUUCAGUAUGCUGCUUUCGUCCAUCGCCAAUCAUCAUGUUUCCUCCAGAUCUGGGGAAAACGGACGCCUUCGACCGCGGUGACUCCAGAUCUGGAUGUGACUGGUCGCCCGCACCUAGGAUUCCAGAUCUGGAUGCGACUGGUCGCCCGCACCUAGGAUUCCAGAUCUGGAUGGAAACACAUUAGUAGCCCACACGGUUCUCUCAACGCAUCAUCCACCACUCAACUGUGGGGCGGUUCUAGCGCAGUUGGUGUGGAUGUCAAGGGGGAGGGGAACGUGUGUGACGAGAAAGAGAGAGCGGGGGGAGGGGAGAAAGAGAGGAGAGGGAGAGAGUCGUGUGUGGGUUUGUUCGUUAUAUAAAAGGCUUUAUCGGAGUACCAAGGGGAACCUUGUCAAACUCCGAGUGAUUUUUCUUGCUUUUGGCAACUUUAUACCUUGAACAAGCUCUAUUACUAAGAAAAGAGGGAGGCUAGAUUGUGCAUGCUUGUGAAUCGUGCACUCGCGUUUCGAUAAGUUUUAUUUUCCAUUUGGGAAAGGGUGCAACACCUCCUUGUUCCCAUUAGAAGAUUAGGUGAAGGCUUAAUAAGAAAUUAGGGAAGGCCCACCCUGAAAUUCAAUAGGAGAAGAGAUUAGGUGGAGGCUUAAUAGGAAAUUAAGGAGCUCCCAUCAGGAAAUUUUGGUGCAGGUAGAUUAGGUGGAGGCUUAAUAGGAGGUUAGCAAGGGCCUACCCUACUAAUUCAAGGGGGGGGGGAGUUACAUGUACAUUAUAUGUGGGCCUGCAUACCACAACAAGACCUCCCGUCCUCACGUUUAAAUUGCCCCGCCCUCUCCCACUUGGUGGGCCCACUUCUCUCCUUGCCGCUCCCAAAAAAGCGUGUCGGCUGAGAGUUGUGCGUGUUGGUCAAUUUGCUCGCUGGAGCGAGCAAAUACCAGUGAGUCAAUGUGAGGUGCUCCCAACCGGCAAGAACACGAAUGACACCAUGCAACAUGCAUCGACCGACCAUGAUUCCUGCAUACAAAUAGUGAACAUCAGACACCAAUGCCCUUACCUCGCUGACCGGACACCCACGGCUCCACUCCCAAACACAGGAAUUGGCGUGAAGUACUCGAUGUCCUCCUAGAAUUCUUGUAGCUCUUCACCCCAUAUUUUUAUUCCUGUUUCUCCCUGUCAAUUAAGACCCCUCUAUUGGAUUUCCCUUUGGCUUGAGAAUGACGGUUGUGACCUCCAUAACAAUGCAACACUCGUCACCCGACUUCUCCUCUUUCUCCUAUGUGUCUUCCUUGCCGAUGAUAGCAAAGUGGACGACCCCAACGACGGUGAUAUCCGCUCGAUGCCAAGGACAUGCGCCGCAUGCGAGGGAAUAUAUGUGAUCCGACAUCCACAACACAAUCCGUAAGGACGAGUUUUCUUCCCAACGAAACCUUCUCUCCUAGCCAAAGAUGACAUCCCUCCUCGAUCUUCUCGUCGGCAUCCGCAGAAGCAACUAUCCUAAUGGUCUAUCGGGAUUGAGGACACCGGAGCGCCAUUCAGAUAUGCCACCAAGAAAGGCGAUGGAGAAGCUCGUUGACCAUUGCACAUGCAGGGAAGGGGGCAACCCAGUUUAGUAAAUUGUAAUAACGAGUUGUAGUGUGCAUCACAAUUAUUGCAUAAACAUCCUUUGAUUAAUUAUAAAAAGAGGAUAAUUCAAAACCUCAUAUAAAAUGCUAUAAAACACACUCAAAUAAUCAAUGCACUGGUAUAAUCCCGCUAAAAAAAUACUAAAAUAUUUACCAUAGUUUCCUUAGGGGGCAGUCCUCUCAUUUAACUAGGCAGGCAAACCCAAGAAGCAAACACUCAUGAGAGACAUAAGCAUUUUCUAGUGAAAAGAAAUAGUGUUGCCAACUAAAGAAAAAAGAAGCAUGCAUAUACUCCCUCCGUUCCUAAAUAUUUGUUUUUUUAGAGAUUCUAAAUGGACUACCACAUACAGAUGUAUAUGGACAUAUUUUAGAGUGUAGAUUCACUCAUUUUGCUUUGUAUGUAGUCAUUUGUUGAAAUCUCUAGAAAGACAAAUACUCCUUCCGUCCCAAAAUUCUUGUCUUAGAUACAUCCGUAAUAUAAGAAUUUUGGGACGGAGGGAGUAUUUAGGAACGGAGGGAGUAGAACACAUGGGCAAUGAUGUACAUCUGAUCUUUUCAAAGGUAUAUGGAGGGACACAAAUAUCAACAUAGAAUAUGGAAUGAGUGGAUCAAAGUUGACUGGGAGUAGAAUCAAUAUGCGCAACAUCGCAUCUUUGAAAGGUUCCAAAUACUCGCAGGCGUCAUUAGUAACAAGUGCAUUUGAAUUAUCACAUGGAAACAACAAAAUAUAUCCAACAAUUCGUUUUCUGGCAGUAUAACAGUGUUGGAUUCAUUGAGAAAUACUGAAUCAUGUUCAUCUAGAGCGUUCUCGUCCUCCUGCGACAUGGUGACAUCUAGGUUUUGCAGGACAAAGCAGGACGCCGAGCUAGUACUUAACCCCAGGAACAUGAGACCAUGCCGUGAAACUCGAAUAUUGUCCUCCGAAGGCUGCAACAGUCAGCUUGAGCCUUGAGGCCACACCGAGGAAUGUUCUUCUUUCUAGGGCCGAAGAUCCUCGCUCUGCUUGUUUCCGGAACCAUUGCUUCUCCAUGUUUGAUCAAAAUUAUGUGAGUGUCGCCUCUUCCUGAGCACUGUCCCUCUCGCUCAUUGCGCCCAAGAUAGACGAUUUACCCCGGAACAUGCAACCACCGUGAUGUGGAGCACGCACAAAAACUGAACCACAGAAAUGGACAACGUUUUAUGGGUAGUCAGCGCAUCUAAGUAAGCUAAGUUGAGACGUGUUAGCAUCGGAGUCGUUGUAGUAUAGUGGUAAGUAUUCCCGCCUGUCACGCGGGUGACCCGGGUUCGAUCCCCGGCAACGGCGAAUUUUUUGUUUCGCGGCCCAUGACAGGCCAGGCCGAUUCUUUUCGGCCUGCUGAGAGCUCGCCUGGCCCGUCCGGGCCUAUUUAUCGUAUGCACCCUCGAAAAGUAUCCCGUUCGCUCUAGAGCCCUGCCAAAACAUUUUCUGUCAUGCUACAAAUUUGUUGUUGCAAUGGCAAAGCAUGCGCGUGCAUAAGGACUACUCCCUCCGUUCGGUGAAGAGUGUACAUUUGGUUUUAGAAUUUGUCAACAAAAAAGUGUACGUCUAUCUUCCUAACACACUUUAAAGUAGAAAAAAUAAUUUUCUUUUAUCACAUGGCAAUCAAGACCAAUAGCAUUCUACAUAUGGUCUCCUUAAUUUCUACAUGCAUUUAGUUUAUUGGGGGUUGGGUAAUUAAAAAGAAGAGAGAUGGUAGCUUGCAUCUUCCCAAUGUAUUUUUACUCGCCUCCAUAAGUUGCCCUAAAAUUUAUAUAUGUACGCUUUUCGCCGGACGGAGAGAGUACUACUACAUUCUAGACAUUGUCUAAAAUGGUUAUAAUGAAUACCAUCGAUUUUGAUAAAAGAAACACUAGUUUUUAGUUCGUGUGUGUUACCCCUGGUUUGUUGGUUUUGCAGCUAUAUUGCUAGCUCAAAUUUAAAUGAACCAGUGUUAUAUUUGUAGAUCAAAUGAGUUAGUAUUGUAUGUUAUGCGUUUAUGUCGGUCUUUUUCUCCGAUUUAACCGGAAGAAAUUCUUAGAUUUUCGAAUUUGGCUCAGUCGAUUUCGUUGGGAAGGAAGAAGGAAGCGCGGGGCAGGGCAAAAUGCCGUCAAGGCCUCAGCUAGGAACAAAUGUAGGCGGAGGCGAGUUCAAAGGUUAACGGUUCGGGGUGCAGACUUGCAGAGAAAUUUUAGUGGUUCGCCGGUUUAGAGGGAUGGCCAUGAUGGCUGGCGCCAACAUGAUGAUGAGGAGUGGGGUGGCGGAGGCAAGCAAUUUGGCCGGUGGUCAUGGACGGUUUGGCAAAGAAGAUGAAUAGGGGAGGACAGUAGGUGGAAGAUGACCAUCUGGUCGUUGGCUGGACGGUUCAGAAAAAUCAACCAACCCAAUCUUUUUUUUAUCGGCCAACCUUUGGUCAUCCUUUUUUUUUUCUCAUGAGUAACUGUGUCAAGGUGAUUCUUAAACCCCAAUCAAGGUUGGAAUAUGUUUUUGUUUGUUUUAUUCUCUUAAUUGCAUAAGUAGAAUAGAAAUAGAAUUUAAGCUAGACUCGUCUUCACUAGAAUCAUAAUCCUAAUCUAUGCUCAUGCAUAUUGUUAAUGUACUACAUUCUCCUAUCUGUCUGAUCAAAAUUAUGUGAGUGCCGCAUCUUCCUGAGCACUGUCCCUCUCGCUUAUUGGGGCCAAUAGAGACGAUUUACUCCGGAACAUGCAACCACCAUUAUGUGGAGCACGCAUGAAAAGAGAUCUAGAGGAAUGGAGAACGCUACGUCUAAGUAAGCUAAGUUGAGUAGCAUUAGCAUGUACUCCCCUUGUUUCUAAAUAUUUGUUUUUUUAGAUAUUUUAAAUGGACUGUCAUAUACAGAUGUAUAUGGACAUAUUUUAAAGUGUUGACAUGGUGUUUUCCACCCAACCCUGCACCUUGCUCCAUAAACGAUCUUUGAGGUAUUUAAAGGCCCCAUUCUUCGAACUCCCAAUAUCUUAUGGCAUCCCUAGAUACUUCUCAUUUAAAGUUUCAUUGGGUAUAUUGAGUAAAUCCUUUAUUUCAGUUCUGGUAGCCUCCGGCACCCCCUUGCUAAAAAAUAUUGAAGAUUUUGCAAAGUUCACUCACUGACCUGAUGCUUGACAAUAUGUAUUCAGUACUAGGUUCACCUCAUUAGCUCCUGCACUAUUUGCCUUGCAGAACAGCAGGUUGUCAUCAGCGAAUAACAGAUGGCUAAUUGGUGGCGCCGUAGGAGCCACUUGUACACCACCCAGAUUGGAUGACUCACUCUUUGAUUUUAACAGGCACGACAGGCCCUCUGCUGCUAGCAAGAACAAGUACGCAGAUAUUGGGUCCCCUUGUCUGAUUCCUCUUGAAGGUUGGAAUUCCUCCAGUCUCUUCCCAUUAAACAUGACAGAAAACUGUACAGUAGUGACCAGUCCCAUAACUAUGUCCACCCAUCUCUCAGUGAACCCCAGCUUUACCAUGAUUGCUCUCAAAUAUGGCCACUCCACCCUAUCAUAGGCCUUCAUCAUGUCUAGCUUCAGGGCAAAAGACUGGUGUUUUUUGGCUUUAUUUCUCUUCAUAAAAUGUAGGCACUCGUAAGCAGUGAUGAUGUUAUCAGUGAUUAGUCUGCCAAGGACAAAAGCAGACUGUUCCUCAGAAAUAAUGUUAGGUAGUACCACCUUAAGGCGAUUGGAGAUAACUUUGGAAGCAAUUUUGUAGAAAACAUUACACAAACUAAUGGGACGAAACUGGUUCAGUAGGGUUGGAUUUUUGACCUUGGGAAUCAACACCAAUACAGUCUCAUUGAUGCAUGUUGCCGAUUCUGUGCCCUCAACAAUUUUAAGCACGACUUUGGUGAUCUCGUCUCCCCAUGUCUCCCGGUGCUGCUGAAAGAAGUGAGCAGGAAAGCCGUCUGGUCCUGGUGCCUUAGUAGGAAACAUUUGAAAAAGAGUCGUCUUAACUUCUUCUGCACUGUACGGAGCAUUCCACAGCGCAUUCAUCGCUUGCGUCACUAGUAGAAAACAUGGCUUUGGUCACGGGGCAAUAUUCACAUUAGUCCCGGUUCAGUCAUGAACCGGGACUAAUGUGAGCAUUGGUCCCGGUUCGUGCGGCUAAGGCAUUAGUCCCGGUUCACUUGAGCCCUUUUAGUCCCGGUUUGAGACACGAAAUGAGACUAAAGGGUGCGAUGCCCUUUAGUUCCGGUUUGUGUCUCAGACUGGGACUAAAGGUCCCAUUUUCAAACUCUACCCCCCUGGAUCGCCUUUCUUGUUUUGAAAAAACCAAAAGAAAAUGAUAAAAACUUCAAAAAAUAAAAUCCUUCGAGAGGUAGUUAUAUUACUACAUCUACUAGUUAGGAAAAUUUAAAAACUGAAAUUUGGACAUGUUUUGCAAAAAAUGUAGGGAAAAUGUAAAACGGCUAUAACUUUUGCAUACGAUGUCGAAAAAAAACGUAUAAUAUAUCAAAAUGUUCAGAACAAAAAUCCGCUUCCGAUUUUGACCGCCUACGGCCUGUUUGCAAAUUUUUAGAAUCCUCAAAUUCUAAAAGGAAAAAAGUUAUGCUCAAAUUUCAGUUUUUUUUGUAUUUUCGUUAAAUCUGGUCAAAGUAUGGUCAAACUACUUAUUCAAGAAAUAUUAGUGUUAUUAAAUAAUUAUUCAAGAAUAUUAGUGUUACUAAAUAAUUAUUUUGGUUUUUCUGAAUUUUUGUCAAAUCUGGUCAAAUUGUGGUGUAACAAUGGUCAAACUAUGGUCAAACUAUUUAUUUAAGAAAUAUUAGUGUUACUAAAUAAUUGUUUCGUUUUUUUUUGAAUUUUGGUCAAAUCUGGUCAAACUUUGGUAAAACUAUUGUCAAACUAUUUAUUCAAGAAAUAUUAGUGUUACUAAAUAAUUAUUGGUUUGUACAAUAAUAGUUUCAAACUCAAACAGUGAAAUGUGUGACUUCAUGCUCAAGCUAAACUCUGAAGGGCUAAUAGGAUUGGCAUCUUACUAUUAUCAGGAAAACAACAAGUGCAGACUUGGAAACGAAGGAGAAUAGAACCCGAAAGUUAAGUGUGCUCGGGCUGGAGUAGUGAGAGGGAUGGGUGACCGGACGGGAAGUUAGAUGAUUCGGAAUGAUGAGGGGUGAUUAGAGAUUAGAGGUUAAAUUGAGCAAUGAUGAGGGGUGGGUGAUUAGAGAUUAAAUUAUAAAAUAAUUCGGAAAUUUGAAAAUCGAGAAAAAAAUUCAAUUUUUUUUUAAAAAAAAUUACCUUUAGUCCCGGUUGAUGUUACCAACCGAGACUAAAGGUGGAGCUGGUGGAGCUCUAGCCAGCGGCCACGUGGGUUCCUGAUUGAACCGGGACUAAAGGGUCAGGGCAUUAGUAACGAUCCUUUAGUCCCUGUUCACAAAACCGGGACAAAAGGCCCUUCCCAACCGGGACUAAUGACCCUUUUUCUACUAGUGCGUUACCUUGCAUGGUACUGUUUCGAGGACCCGUUCCAUGUCACCACCCCUUCUGUCGUGUACAAAUCUUUGUAGAAAGCAGUUGUCAUAUUUUCCAUCUCCACCACGUUUUCAGUAACCUGACCGUCAGCAAGCUGCAGCGAUUUGAUCUGGUUUUUGUGUCGCCUCCUGCUCGCUCUCAUGUGGAAGAAAUAGGUGUUUUUGUCGCCAUGCAUGAGCCAGUCAACCCUGGCUCGUUGCCUCCGCAAGAUCUCCUCACGGUGAAAAAGUUCAAUCAAGCGGUCACAUAUUUUUGUCUCCUGCCGUGAGGGGCCGGAGCUUCCUGGGAGUUCGUGCAUCACCUGUAUCCUUUUUUAAUUCAGCUAUCUCUCUAUGAACGCUGCCAAAAUGUUGCCGAUCCCAGGUAGCUAGGUCACCCGACAGCGCUUGUAGCUUUGUCUUCACCUGCACCACCGAAUCCCCCUGCACCUGGUUCCAACCCGCAUGCACCACUGUUUCCAGCAUCGGGUUGCGCUCCCAGCAUACUUCGUAUUUAAACGGUCGUGGCCCCCUUCUGCAUGCAUGCAUUGCUUGGAGCCUAAGCAUCAUAGGUACGUGGUCAGAUGUAGCAGCAGUAAGGUGCUCCAGAGAAGCAUCUGGGAAGGCCAGAACCCAAGCGGGAUUAGCCACGCCCUUGUCCAACCGCACCCUUGUGUACGUUACCUUUUUCUACUAGUGCGUUACCUUGCAUGGUACUGUUUCGAGGACCUGUACCAUGUCACCACCCCUUCUGUCGUGUACAAAUCUUUGUAGAAAGCAGUCAUCAUAUUUUCCAUCUCCACCACGUUUUCAGUAACCUGACCGUCAGCAAGCUGCAGCGAUUUGAUCUGGUUUUUGUGUCGCCUCCUGCUCGCUCUCAUGUGGAAGAAAUAGGUGUUUUUGUCGCCAUGCAUGAGCCAGUCAACCCUGGCUCGUUGCCUCCACAAGAUCUCCUCACGGUGAAAAAUUUCAAUCAAGCGGUCACAUAUUUUUGUCUCCUGCCGUGAGGGGCCGGAUCUUCCUGGGAGUUUGUGCAUCACCUGUAGUUCCUUUUUUAAUUCAGCUAUCUCUCUACGAACGCUGCCAAAAUGUUGUCGAUCCCAGGUAGCCAGGUCACCCGACUGCGCUUGUAGCUUUGUCUUCACCUGCUCCACCGAAUCCCCCUGCACCUAGUUCCAACCCGCAUGCACCACUGUUUCCAGCAUCGGGUCGCGCUCCCAGCAUACUUCGUAUUUAAACGGUCGUGGCCCCCUUCUGCAUGCAUGCAUUGCUUGGAGCCUAAGCAUCAUAGGUACGUGGUCAGAUGUAGCAGCAGUAAGGUGUUCCAGAGAAGCAUCUGGGAAGGCCAGAACCCAAGCGGGAUUAGCCACGCCCCUGUCCAACCGCACCCUUGUGUAUGUGCCGCCCACCACCUUCUUCUCAAAGGUCCAGCUCUGUCCCUUAUAACCAAUGUCAGAUAAACCGCACGUGUCAAUAGCGUCUCGGAAUACGUGCAUCUGUUCUUGGCUUCGCUGGCCAAUUCCAUCGUGCUCAUGGGCAUGAAGUACUUCGUUAAAGUCCCCAAUGACUAUCCAUGGAUCGUUGCUCAUUCCUGCAAUUCCACGCAACAUGUCCCAAGUUUUGUACCGCUCGCUUGUUUGGGCCUCACCAUACACAAAGGUGAUUUUGGUUUUGAUAUCUACCAUCUGUUCAACCAAAACGUCUAUGUGAUACUCAGAAUAACUGAUAACCUCGAGCUUUAUUUCCUCAUUCCAAAAAAUGCCUAGUCCACCACUCCUGCCGGAGCUGUUUACAACAAAGCUUUUAUUAUAACCUAGAGUUCCUACCAGAUUCUCAACUCGUGAGCCCUCUAACUGAGUUUCAAGGAUGCAUACAAUAGAGGGGGCAAGUUGCUUCGAAAGAUCUCGAAGCUCUCGAACUGUCCCGGGUCUGCCAGCCCCACGACAGUUCCAAACUAGGCACCUCAUUGCGCCAGGCGCGACCCGUUGAUAGGGCCCGCCGAUUGCGCGCUGUUUUGGGUGUUUGAGGGUUUGUUCUUCACUUGGUUCUUCUUCAACUGAGGUGGGUUGGUCUUCGUUCUUUUGGUUUCUUGCUUCGACGAAGGGCUCUGUGGAACAGUUUCUGUGGCAAGUGUUUGAGGUUCCAUCGAAGAUGAUGGGUUGGCUCCUGGAGCAGUAAGCAAGAGCGCAUUUGCAAGGGCACCUCUGUUGCGAUUCACUUCUCCUUCUUCCAUCUCUGUAUCCGGAUCAGUAGCAGGGUCAUAUUUAUCUGGAUGUGUUUGACCGAAACCACGCCCUCCGUGUCCUGCACGGCCAUUGCCUCGCCCUCGUCCACCUUCCGAGCCUCUUGCCUCUCCUGGUUCGCGACCUGGUCCCCUGAACCAAUCUGCUUUCAGGUUUUUGAACACUAGCGCUGAUGGGGGGUGAACCCCAUCGCCGCAUUCUUUGAACGGAUGGCCUAGCAAUCCACAUAUAGCACACCAAUCUAGGAGCCUUUCAUAUUUCACUCUGUAAAUCUCUCUCUUCUUCCUGAUCACCAGCGAGACAGCGUUCUUGAGCGGCUUUGUGACGUCCACCUUCACCCGAACCCUAAAAAAGUUACCCUCAAAGUCCUGGGAUUUGGGCUCAGCAAAUAUGAAAUCACCCACCGUAGCAGCUAGCGAUUUAAUCAGGUGGAAGAACAAUUCAGGGAGAUCAUGAAUCGGAAUCCACAUCUCAAUUUUAUCAAGAACAAUGGACGAUAGCCUAGUGAAACCAUCAUAGGGCUCGAUCACGACCGCUUUCCCUUUGAAGGUCCAAGGGCCAUCGCCCAUGACUCUCUCCCAAUCUCCCGGGCAGGAGAAUUGCAAGGUAUAGAGGUUUUCUUCUAGCGGACGGAACUUGACCUCUUGCGCUAGAUCCCAUGCCACCCGCAUGUUGUGAAAGAACCAGUACUGGCUGUACGGCUUGUCCGUGUGAACCCGCGCGAUCGCCAUCCAACGCGCUACUUCCUCUGGAAUAUCACCGUCCUGAACCAUGAUGUCCUCCAGAUCAUCUUCUUUCAGGCCUAGUUCCUUCAUCAUAGCCUCCAUCUCGCUCAUCGCUGCGGCCGAAGCCGACGUUGAGCCUUCCAUCAGAUCUCUUGCCCGAGAAGACGGUUUCCGCGGGCGGGAGGACCCAAGCCAGGUCACCCAGCACUCACGCACGCCAGCAAGCCUAAGCCGCUGGCGAUCGGUGGUCUGAGAGACGCAGGGGAUCGCGAUCUCCACGUCAAUGCCUAGGCGCCGCCGGGAGGAGAGAAAAACCCUAACUAGAGGGGAAUAUUUUCAGGUCUGUGUUCAAAAUAGUUGUUUUUAAGCGAUGAGAAGGUGUACCAUGGGCCAUGGCUAGACUAGGCCUGGCCGGCGUUAUAACCGGGAGAAGGAAAUAUCCAGGUGAAAAGAGAAAAAACGGAGCCCGCUAGGGUUUCCCUCCGCCGCCGCCGCCCUCCCCCGCUCCCGCCGCCGCCGCCCUCCCCCGCUNNNNNNNNNNNNNNNNNNNNNNNNNNNNNNNNNNNNNNNNNNNNNNNNNNNNNNNNNNNNNNNNNNNNNNNNNNNNNNNNNNNNNNNNNNNNNNNNNNNNNNNNNNNNNNNNNNNNNNNNNNNNNNNNNNNNNNNNNNNNNNNNNNNNNNNNNNNNNNNNNNNNNNNNNNNNNNNNNNNNNNNNNNNNNNNNNNNNNNNNNNNNNNNNNNNNNNNNNNNNNNNNNNNNNNNNNNNNNNNNNNNNNNNNNNNNNNNNNNNNNNNNNNNNNNNNNNNNNNNNNNNNNNNNNNNNNNNNNNNNNNNNNNNNNNNNNNNNNNNNNNNNNNNNNNNNNNNNNNNNNNNNNNNNNNNNNNNNNNNNNNNNNNNNNNNNNNNNNNNNNNNNNNNNNNNNNNNNNNNNNNNNNNNNNNNNNNNNNNNNNNNNNNNNNNNNNNNNNNNNNNNNNNNNNNNNNNNNNNNNNNNNNNNNNNNNNNNNNNNNNNNNNNNNNNNNNNNNNNNNNNNNNNNNNNNNNNNNNNNNNNNNNNNNNNNNNNNNNNNNNNNNNNNNNNNNNNNNNNNNNNNNNNNNNNNNNNNNNNNNNNNNNNNNNNNNNNNNNNNNNNNNNNNNNNNNNNNNNNNNNNNNNNNNNNNNNNNNNNNNNNNNNNNNNNNNNNNNNNNNNNNNNNNNNNNNNNNNNNNNNNNNNNNNNNNNNNNNNNNNNNNNNNNNNNNNNNNNNNNNNNNNNNNNNNNNNNNNNNNNNNNNNNNNNNNNNNNNNNNNNNNNNNNNNNNNNNNNNNNNNNNNNNNNNNNNNNNNNNNNNNNNNNNNNNNNNNNNNNNNNNNNNNNNNNNNNNNNNNNNNNNNNNNNNNNNNNNNNNNNNNNNNNNNNNNNNNNNNNNNNNNNNNNNNNNNNNNNNNNNNNNNNNNNNNNNNNNNNNNNNNNNNNNNNNNNNNNNNNNNNNNNNNNNNNNNNNNNNNNNNNNNNNNNNNNNNNNNNNNNNNNNNNNNNNNNNNNNNNNNNNNNNNNNNNNNNNNNNNNNNNGCGGCCCUGUUCUCUUCCUCCCCGCGCGGCGCUGUAGCUCGGGCGUUGGCGCCGGCGGCGGUGCACCCAGGUCGGCUUCGGAUCCGGUGGCGGCUCGUCUUCGCAGGCGGCGCAGCUCCGGGUGGCAUGGUGGCGGUGGUGUGGCUGCUUGGCUGCGGGGCGGCGCGGUGGCUGGCGGCGGUGCCCUUCCGGCCCAGAUCUGGGCCCUUUUGGGCCCCAUCUGGGUCUGGGUGGGCCUGGCGUGUGCUUUCCGGCGUCAUCUCCGGCGGACGGAGGUGUGGCUUGGGCUGGGGGUGGCGGAGACGGUGGCGCGUGUACUGCAGCGCAGCGACGGGAGCUUCACGAGCCCGCUUCGGGCUCGGCCGGGCAGGGGUGCCUGGUUUGCUCCUGAGCUACGUCCGGUCGGUCACCGCCGAAGGUGGUGGAGGUUGUCCCCUCCCACGUGGCCGCUGACCCUGCUGCUCCUCGUUUUCGGCUGGUUCCUCUCGAUCCCGCCGGUCUCGCUUCGCUUGUCACGGUGAGACGGCGAUGGUGACUGCGUGUCCGUGGUGGCGCAUAUUGGUGGACGGCAAGUAUGGUGGAUCGCGAUGGAUCGUCUGGGGUCGUGGUUGGUAGGAGGUUGGGAGAAAUCCUUGUCGGCUUGUUCGGCACCGACGCGGUGACGCCCGUGGGCGUCGCCGUGCCUUCCUGAAGGGCGUCGGAUAUCCCCCUUCCUCCCACGGCCCUUCGCGUACCGGGGGAAACCCUAGGCCAUGUCCGGUAGCAGCGUCGUUGUCGUCGCGUUCCUUCUUGAAGGUGUUACUUGGUAUGCGGCGUUUCGUGGUGCUAGGAGCGUGGUGGAACUCUCCGGCGGGCGCAGCGAUGGUGAGUCAUCUUCGUUUUUGUUGAUCCGCCGUUGUCGGCAUUUUUUUUUCCUUUUGUGUUUUCUCUUUUUUUUCUUUUGGGCGUGCCUGUGCUGCUUCCGCCCCAGCACCUAUCGUGGGUUGUAUCGAUGUUGUUGCUUUGUAAUACAAAGCGGGGGGAAACCCUUUCUCGGCAAAAGAGAAAAAACUGAUCUGUAGUUCUGUACCGUACUGCUUUACAGGCCGCGCUGCCCAUCGGAGACGCGCAUGGAGAUCGACGCGCAUCCUUCUUCCUCAGCCUCGGCUGCUGCUGCGUCCUCGUCCUCGUCGCCUACGUAAUACCCCCAACCCCUAUCUCGUCCUGUACUCCUCCAUAUCUCUCUCUCCCUCUUGUUCUGCAUCCCGUUUCCGUUCACCUGCGGAUGUUGAAUCAGAUCCGCCUACAUCUGCAAGAUUAAUCACACCUCAAUAUAUGGAACUAAAUUGGGUAGAUAUAGUUACAGUUUUGCUAAAGCACAUCUAGAUGUGCCAUAAAUAUUGCACAUCUAGGUCCUAAAGUCAUUGAUCUUACACGGAGAUUCCUGUGGAUAAUUUCUUUUUUCUUUUUCUUUUUCUUCUUAUGGCUUGAUUGAGUCAUUUAGAUGUGCAAUAACUAGGGCACAUCUAGUUAAGUCGUAGAUGGAUUCUGCUUAUUCUCGAAGAAGAAAAACAAUCCAGAUUGAGACUUUCCCUGCUUUAGGUGUCCAACAUUGCAGCUAAUAACGGAGGGAGAACCAUAUGUGCUCUGCUUUCCUUUUUCAGGCAGAAUCAACACUUGCCAGAUACAGUAUUAAUUUGAGAAAUAGGCGAUUUGUGGUUUGUAUUGUUCAGUAGACGCGAAGAAUUAUAUGAAACUUUAACAGGCCGUCUAUCUACCGCGUAGCUUCUACAUAGUUGUUAAUUUUAUUCUCAGGAGCGACAACGUCAGUAUUUUUUGUUAAUUUUAGUGUAUGAUGCAAGUGUAGUGACGUGUUGAUGUUGGAACGAUACACACAAGUCGUGUUUUCUGAAUCUUGGUAGCUCCUGUUUCUUUUUGUACAACUACACCUUGCUGCGCAUGUCUAACCUUUUGUCCUGAAUUUUAUGUGUCGCCAGGGAGAGCGCUGUCAUGCAAAUCAGGGCGAAGAGAACCUGCUAUGCCGCUGCCUCAUCUGAGGCACGAGGAUGGGCCGAGCUCCCGGACGACUUGCUCCGACCCAUCGUUGCUCUCCUCAGCUCGUCGUUCCGCGACCUCCUCGCCUUUGGUUCCACCUGUCAUCCCUGGCGUGAUUUCUCAGCGCACACGUCCUCUUUGUACCCUCUCCUCCUCCACCCGAGUACCGACCGCCAACAGUAUCCCUGGUAUGACUAUGACUACUGGACCCUUUUCCACGAAUGCACGUGGAGAUUGGCUGAUCCUGCUGCCGCCUCAUCCUAUCCCAGUUUGCUUUCCUUGAGUGAUCUCAGGGGAAUGUUCUUUCUGCGCUGCUCCUACGGUCACCUCAUCUUCUUCGACAAUAAGGGGUUCUACAUUGUUAAUGCGUUCAGUGGCGCUAAGGUUGUGCCUCCUUGCCUCAAGUCAGACAACUUCAUUCACAUUAGCUAUGCCACCUUGACUGCCCCUGUUGCAUCCGCUGACUCGCAUCUCCUUGUCGGCAGCGGAGGCUAUCUGUUUCAGUGGCGCGUCGGGAGCGACUCUUGGUUGGAACACUAUCCUAAAGUUCCUUUUCUUACGAUUGAACAAAUUGUGGCCUUCAAAGGCAAAACAUACACCCUAGGGUCUUUUGGGUCCUUCUGCAUCGUACAAUUUUCGCCCUGUCUCUUAGUUCAGAAGUUUGAAAUUAUGUUUGAGGAAGAUAGAACUGAAGAUCGCUAUUGGACAAAUCAAAAAACAUGGCUUGUGGUGUGCGACGUGCUUCUCUUAAUCAAACUUGAGGCAGUAAAAAGGAUAAGCUCUGAGGCUUUCCAGUUCAAGGCCUUCAAGCUCAAGUCGUUGGACGCCAAGAACAAGAAAGCAAGGUGGGCGAAGGUGGACAGGUUGAAUAACUGGGCCAUCUUUGUCAGCGCCGACGGGCGAUGCGAGGCGUUGUCGUUCAUGAACCCGGAGAGAUGGGGAGGGAGGAGCAACCACAUAUACUUCCCAAGUUAUGAGUCUGAACGACCUUGGGCUGCAGUGCAACUAUGGCAAAAAGCUAACAACCAUUCGACAAGUUCGUGGCUCUCGAAAACUGGAAGCCAGUACCACAGAUUGGUGCCAACCUGGGUCCUCCCUAGCGCAUAUCCUCGCUCUGGUCAGCAAUGAUCUUACGGCCAUCGCAGGCGUGGUUGGUGAUUGUCCUCUGAUACAGCUUCCCUGGGAGAGUUCUACCUUGUUUGGAGCAGUUACAUGAUGAGUAGUUUUACUGAAUGUUCUUAACUUUUUUUCUAAACUUGCAUUGCAAACAGAAGCUUUCACUGUAGAGUUAUCUGAUUCUGCUUUUUUUUGUGGGAUUAUAAGGGACCUUAUGUUUUAUUGCUCAUCUACUACAAAUUACGGAGAUUACUUGUACUUGCGCCACUUGAUAACUUUGGGUUAGGCCUGCAACUUACUUUUAUACUACACACCUAAGGUGUUCAUCUAGGAGACUAGGACUGAGCCCAAAAAGCAAUUUCCUAAUAAACUCGCUAGUAUCUGUGCAGUGCUCAUUAUUCAUCAAGUUAUAAGCUUACUGCUGUUCUUCAUCUUUUCAUGUUGAACAAACUUGUGAUGUCUUUUAUUUAGUGCCAUGGCAGCUGUUUUGCUUCGAAUAAGUGUGCCAUGGCAAAGGUUUGCAUACUCACUGCACAUGUGCCAUGGCAGGCGUCUUUCCCAUCGGGUUAGCCAGGUUUACAUGUUGCUUUUUUCGCCAAAGCUUGUUAAUUACUCCCAUUUUGUUAAUUAAGAAGCUUUGGCGAAAAAAGCAACAUGUAGAACAGGUUUUUGCCUCCAAGAACGUACAUUGGAUAGCAAACAAAGAUUAUUACAAAUCUUGAUGCACUACAUCAGAGAAGCGAAAAGAAUAAGGGAGUGUUUAGUUCGGUACUUCAGCCUGCCACUCCAACCUGCGACAAGCCGCAAGUGAGGCGGACGAUCCGUCCGCCACACGUUAGGCACGAAAAAGUGCAACACGGUAGUUUGUUUUGCUAUCACAUACUACAGCGUGUCAGGAAGCAAACAGUUGCCGGAGAUUGUCUGGCACGCCGCGCAUGUGGCACGGCAACCAAAGGCGUGAUCCAAACACGCCCUAAGUACCAUAACAAUGGAACACAAACAGCCCCCAAGUGCAGCCAGUGGCAACAAGACAACUACAUGGUGCAACGACACGAUCUCAUACCCAAGCAGUAAAAGAUGUAGGAUUGCGAGGAAGUUGAGCAUUUAUCGUCGUAAAACAAGGUUCUGGCACCCACUUCUUAUUUCGGUUGCCAUCUUCUGGUUAUAAAAAUGCUCGAGCAUUUUUAUCCAACUCGUAGACAUGGCCAUCCCUUAACCCCAUCCCCUCUUGGUUCACUAAGUUUCAUGGCUGUUUUUGGCCAAAGAAGAAUGCACACUUGUUCAUGCCUCCAUCUAUCCCCUCGCAUACUUUGCAGUUUCAGUCGAAAAAUCGUUGGAGAAGGCAUCCCCGUUACAGCCAAGUAGGAGAAGCGUAUCUUCUCAAGCUACCAAAUUUCCCGAAAGCAUCUACCGGUCCAUAUAAUUGCUGCAAGAAACUCUUAGUACCUCACCAUGAAAACUAGGGUGCCAAAUGCACGGUGUACAACUUUUGAUGUAUCCUCAUAAUGAUCCGGCCUUUGAAGGCCACCAUCUCUUGGAUCAAAUGUACACUUACAAAAUCACAGCCCAAUCAAGUGGGGCUCCCAACCUCUCUUGUAGUCCAUGUGAUGUCAUGAGAUAGUUGGAGCCGAUGGUGGUUGUUCUACAUUGCCAAUCAAUGUUUUUAGAGAUAAUAAUAGAGGGUGUGGAUCACUGAUUCUCAAUUUGCUAGGAAAAUCAUAUGUGAUCUGCUUUUAUUUUUCUGUCAGUAUCGACACUUGCCAGAUACAGUAUUAGUUUGAGAAAUACUAGGCGCAAAGAUUUAUUUUCUAUCUAGCGCAUAUAUAUAAGUUCCCCAAAGAAUUGAUAUCCAGUGCCUGCAUCAUUGUUGAUCUUAUUUUGGGCUUCUAGGGAGCCACAACGCAAUGCGAUUAGUACCUUUGUUCAGCAGUGUAUGAUGUUUUUUAGAAUCUUGGUAACUCCUGUUCUUUUGUAUACAGUCGUUAUACCUUGUUUCGCAUGCCUAACCUUUUUCUUGAAUUUGCUGUGUCGAACAGGGAGAGCGCCAUCAUGCAAAUAAUGGACAACAGGACAUCUUCUGCUUCUGUCUACUCACUCAAGGAUGGGCAGAGCUCCCGGACGACCUGCUCCAACCCGUUGCCGCUCUACUACGCUCGUUCCGCGACCUCCUCGCCUUCGGUACCACUUGCCGUCAUUGGUGUGAUCUCUUCUCAGCGCACAGGUCCUCUGUCCAGCCUCUGCUCCUCCACCCCAAUCUCCGUACAGAGGGUGGACAGUCUCUCUCACAUAACUGCUGGACCUUGUUCCACAAAUGCACAUGGAGAUUGGCUGACCCUGCUGCCACCUCAUCCUCUCGCAGUUUUCUUUCCUUGAGUGACCUCAGAAACAUGACCUUUCUGCGCUACUCCCAUGGCCAGCUCAUCUUCUACGACAACAAUGGGUUCCAUAUUGUUAAUCCAUUCAGUGGCACUAAGGUUGGUCCUCCUUCCCUCCGGUCAGUUCACUUCACUUGCAUCAGCUAUGUCACCUUAACUGCCCCUGUUGCAUCUGCUGAUUCGCAUCUCAUUGUCAAUGCUGUAGCCUAUCUAUUCCUGUGGCGCAUCGGGAGCGACUCUUGGACAAAACACAGUCCUAAAGUUGGUCGUUUUUUUAUUGAACAAAAUGUUGCCUUCAAGGGCAAGACAUAUGCCCUAGGGUCUUUCGGGUGGUUCUACAUAAUUCACUUGUCACCCAGUCUCAUUAUUCAGAAGUUUAAAGUUGUGUUUGAGGAAGAUAUAACCGAAGAUCUCUAUUCGGAAAAUGAAAAAGCAUGGCUAGUGGUGUGUGCUGACUGCUGAUGCAUUUGAUUAUCUCUGUUUAAAAGGAGAUCAAGCUACAAGUAGAUGUAUGGACCAAACAAAGCACAUAACUCAAAUAAAAGCCCAGGCACAUCUGACAUGGUGCACACAAAAAAUGUUGAAGAGAGAUAUGAAGGCGCAAGAAGCUAGUAUUGUUUCAGGAUGCAAGCCCUUAUCUUUUGUAUGCAAAACGGGAGUAAUUAACAAGGUUCAGCGGAAACAGCAACAUGUAGCACAAGUUUUGCCUCCAAGAACAUACACUGGGUAGCAAACAGAGAUUAUUACAAAUCUUGAUGUACUCCAUCAGAGGAGCGGAAACUAGAAAGAACAUAGCGACCGAAUACAAAAAGUUCCCAAGUGCAUCCAACGACAACAAGACAACUGCACGGUACAACGACAUGAUCUCAUACCCAAGCUGCAAAGGAUGUAGGAUUAUGAGCAAGAUGAGCAUUGAUCGUCGCAAAACAAGGUUCUGGCUCCAACUCCUCAUUUUGGUUGCCAUCUACUGGGUAUGAAAAUACUCGAGCGUUUUCAUCCAACUGGUAGACAAGGCCACCCCUUAAACCCAUCCUCUCUGGGUUCACUAAGUGUCGUGGAUGUCCAAUGUGUUUCUGGCCAUAGAAGAACGCCCACUUCUUCAAGCCUCCCUCUUCUAAUCUCACAAACUUUGCAGGUUCAGUUGAGAAAUCAAUGGAGAAGGCUUCCCCGUUACGACCAAGUAGGAGAAGUGUGUCUUCACAAGCCACCAAAUUUCCGGAAAGCACGUAUGGGUCCAUAUAAUCUCUGCAAUCAACUCUUAGUAGCUCAACAUGAAACUGAGGUGUCAAAUACACGGUGUAUAGUUUUUGACGCAUCUUCAAAAUGAACCGGCCUUUGAAGGACACCAUCUCCUUGAUCAAAUGUGCAUUUAGAAAAUCGCAGUUCAACCAAGAGGGGCUCCCAACUCGCCAAACGUACAGGCAGUGUGGGCUGCUGACAAAUAGAUAUGAAUCCGGUGACGCUUCUGGAGAUAUGAAGGUUCUGUAGCAGAGUUGAUUCAACGGGAAAGGUGGAGCUGCAACCGUAGUGCCAAUGAGCACGUCCAUAAUGAUAAGGGAUCUGUCGUAGCAGAAAAUUGCAUGAUCAUAAGAACAUUUGAUGACUACCACUUUGUCCAAAAUACUUGGAGGGGUCAAGCGACACAACGGAGUACUUGGAUAUACAGGAUCAAUGAGCUCCCAUGUGUUUCCAAUGUUCGAGCCAGCUGAGCUUGUCUCGUCGGCACAGUUCCGAAAAAUAACAGGUGGGAAGAGCUUGCCUAAGGUAGAUCUGAUUGACAUGAAUGCGGCAUACCAGCUAGGGCAGGUGGCAAUGAAUGCAAGAAGGUCACGAGUUGAACCCAACAGGACAAUGAUGGAGUGCAAUAAUCCAUAUGGUAGGUCCGCCCAGCCUUCGGGUCCAAACAUGACACAGUGCACAGAGAUGGGGGUGUUGGAGCUCUGGUUGAUGUUUUGCAUGAUAUCAGCUCCAAAUUCUGCAUUAAGGAUCAUGAAAGGACAACAAUUUUAGCAAUGGACUUGAGUUAACUAUAUAAUAUAAAUUGUUGUCACUAUUUUAAUUCACUUGGUACUAAUACAACUAUGAUAAUUAUACAAACACAAUAAAAAUGUUUGUAGAAACUGUAAACAUAAUACACAAUAGAGUAAAGAUUAGGGUAUUGCCAUCCAAACGUGCAUGUGCCUCAAGAAAAUUCGAUCAUGACAAAAUUCAUCAACAUUUGAAAAUAAAAUGCAAGUUCUGUAUUUUUCUUUCCAUCGAAUGUUAUUUAUAUGUGUUGCCCUUCCUCAUUUCUUGCCCGGCCCCCAUGGACGACUUCAUAGUCAUCUUCAUCACCUUGCCACCGAUAGCCAUCCAUGAAACCACGCAAGAGCAGGCGGUCCCACACCUGCCCGGAUUCCGGGUCCGCAAUAAGGCUCUUCAGCUUGCAUCUUCGACACGGACAUCUUAUCUCUGUCUCGUUCUUUUGAAGCAUCUCGGCCUUCGCGGACCUCAAAAACCUAUUCACGAUGCCUUCAGUCAUCGUGCGGACCAUGGUCGCCUGCGGGGUAGAGCAAAACGAUAUUUUAGAACCAAGAAAAAAUUUGGCAUGACUUUCCCUAAAAAUAGGACCAAAAAGAAUGCUUAAUGCCAAAAUUCUCGCCGAAACAGAAAUGAAUCAACAUUCCGGCAAAACAUUGGCAACUAUCGCAUUUCAAAUACAGGUACACCUCCAAAUACAAACACAUAUGCAACACCACAAACAUAUGCAACACCACGAACAUGCAUAGAUCUAGCUAGGCCAUAAAAAGUGCAUGUGCACAUUUUUGUAGGGAGAACAACAUAAAUAUAGCUUCCCCCUUACUUACCUAUCAAAACAAGGUAAUUUAACCACGUAAAUUGAAUGAACCUAUGGUGGAAAUGAGGUGAAAAAGAGGAGGCACCCGAGACAAGGAGGAGGUGGAGAGAAUGAAGUGGGGAGAAAGUGAGUGUGGGUAGGAGAGGCUGUCCAAAAUAUCUUGUUGCUGCCCACUUACUAAUGGCGCACCAACUCUAAAUGCGCCAUUAGUAAUCCAGGUUACUAAUGGCGCACCUUCUGGUGGUGCGCCAUUAGUAGUUUUGCAAAAAAAAACAUACUAAUGGCGCACUGUCCCGCAGUGCGCCAUUACUAGUUUAAACUAGUAAUGGCGCACGGUGGAACAGUGCGCCAUUAGUAGUUUUGCAAAAAAGGAAUAAAAAAUAUAAUUAAAAAAACAACAUUAGUGGCGCACUUUCCGACAGGUGCGCCAUUACUAGUUACAACUAGUAAUGGCGCACUGUGUCUGGAUGCACCAUUAGUAUGUUUGGACAGGCGCACUAGUUCAAAUUUUUUUUGAUACUAAUGGCGCACCCUCGGCCUGGUGCGCCAUUAGUAGUUUCAACUCUAAUGGCGUAUCAGAAGGUGGUGCGCCAUUAGUAUAUACUAAUGGCGCACCGCUUGUCUGGUGCGCCAUUAGUGUCAAUCCCAUCUAUAGCCCUUCUUCUAGUAGUGAAUUGCCUUGCGCCGGGCUGUCCAGAUUGCCCAGAGUGUGACCGAGAGCAAUACGAACGAUCAUGCGUGAGCGACUGCAUGAAGGUGAAGAGCCACUGCUUGGCAUUGGGUUCUGUGUUGGAUACCAGAUUUUGAGCCAACUCCUCAUCAACAAGAGCCCAUACACAUCUCGAGCUAGUACAGUUUACCAAGGAGUGUCUCCAUGAAUCAGGAGAGCCACAUAAAUUGCAAUAAGCAUUAUCUGCCAUGUGCCGAUGAGCCCUAAUGUCCUCCGUAGGAAGGGAUUGCUUUGACAAAUGCCAGAGGAACAUCCUAACCUUUCCCAGGACCUGGGUCUUCCACAAAGAUUUCCAUGCUCCUUCCUCCCGCGCAUUAUUUGAUGUGCCAGCCGUUCCCUCAAGCCAUGCCUCACGACGCUGUCUUGUUGCUACAAGCAUGCGGUAAGCAGAUCUGACAGAGAAGUUUCCGCUUGAUUCAAAAUUCCAUCCCCAAAAAUCUUGGAGAUUGCGGGUGCACACCAGAAUCCCCAAUAUGAUCUGAGCAUCCAUGGGCAUAAAAACUUGGUUGACUAGCUGGAUAUUGCAUGAAGCACUCGUCUGGUCGAUCAGUUCCGAGACCAGGUUUGGCGGAUUUGGGUGAAUACUCCCAUACGGGCGUAACAUCUCAUCCCUUGGUAGCCACUGGUCUUCCCAGAUGCGAGUUGAUUGACCAUUGCCAAUUCUAUGAAUGAGCCCUUGUUUCAAUGUGUCCCUGCCUUCGAUAAUGGCUUGCCAUAUCUAACUUGGAUGGUUGCCCAAGGUUGCCUCCAAAAUGGAUGAGUCAGGGAAAUAUAUGCUCUUCAACACACGCGCACUAAGGGAAUCUGGUGUUUGGAGUAAUCUCCAUGCUUGUCGUGCUAACAUCACCAUAUUGAACAGUUCAAAGUCUUUAAACCCUAGGCCUCCCAUUCUCUUUGGCUGCGUCAUGCUUUUCCAAGAUACCCAGUGAGGUUUUCUUUUGCCAUCUUUGCUCCCCACCAGAACUUCCUAAUAAGCAUAUUAAGAUGCUCACAUAAACCCCUUAGGAGUUUGAAGCAUGACAUUGAGAAAACUGGUAUGGAUUGGGCAACUGAUUUGACUAGAACCUCCUUGCCUGCCGUUGACAUGGUGUUUUCCACCCAACCCUGCACCUUGCUCCAUAAACGAUCUUUGAGGUAUUUAAAGGCCCCAUUCUUCGAACUCCCAAUAUCUGAUGGCAUCCCUAGAUACUUCUCAUUUAAAGUUUCAUUGGGUAUAUUGAGUAAAUCCUUUAUUUCAGUUCUGGUAGCCUCCAGCACCCCCUUGCUAAAAAAUAUUGAAGAUUUUGCAAAGUUCACUCGCUGACCUGAUGCUUGACAAUAUGUAUUCAGUACUAGGUUCACCUCAUUAGCUCCUGCACUAUUUGCCUUGCAGAACAGCAGGCUGUCAUCAGCGAAUAACAGAUGGCUAAUUGGUGGCGCCGUAGGAGCCACUUGUACACCACCCAGAUUGGAUGACUCACUCUUUGAUUUUAACAGGCACGACAGGCCCUCUGCUGCUAGCAAGAACAAGUACGCAGAUAUUGGGUCCCCUUGUCUGAUUCCUCUUGAAGGUUGGAAUUCCUCCAGUCUCUUCCCAUUAAACAUGACAGAAAACUGUAUAGUAGUGACCAGUCCCAUAACUAUGUCCACCCAUCUCUCAGUGAACCCCAGCUUUACCAUGAUUGCUCUCAAAUAUGGCCACUCCACCCUAUCAUAGGCCUUCAUCAUGUCUAGCUUCAGGGCAAAAGACUGGUGUUCUUUGGCUUUAUUUCUCUACAUAAAAUGUAGGCACUCGUAAGCAGUGAUGAUGUUAUCAGUGACUAGUCUGCCAAGGACAAAAGCAGAUUGUUCCUCAGAAAUAAUGUCAGGUAGUACCACCUUAAGGCGAUUGGAGAUAACUUUGGGAGCAAUUUUGUAGAGAACAUUACACAAACUAAUGGGACGAAACUGGUUCAGUAGGGUUGGAUUUUUGACCUUGGGAAUCAACACCAAUACAGUCUCAUUGAUGCAUGUUGCCGAUUCUGUGCCCUCAACAAUUUUAAGCACGACUUUGGUGAUCUCGUCUCUGUAGGGUUUCGUAGUAAUUUCAAAAAAAUUCCUACGCUCACGCAAGAUCAUGGUGAUGCAUAGCAACGAGAGGGGAGAGUAUGAUCUAAGUACCCUUGUAGAUCGACAACGGAAGCGUUUGGUUGAUGUAGUCGUACGUCUUCACGGCCCGACCGAUCAAGCACCGAAACUACGGCACCUUCGAGUUCUAGCACACGUUCAGCUCGAUGACGAUCCCCGGACUCCGAUCCAGCAAAGUGUCGGGGAAGAGUUCCGUCAGCACGACGGCGUGGUGACGAUCUUGAUGUACUACUGCAGCAGGGCUUCGCCUAAACACCGCUACAAUAUUAUCGAGGACUAUGGUGGAAGGGGGCACCACACACGGCUAAGAAUAUGAUCACGUGGAUCAACUUGUGUUUGUCUGGGGUGCCCCUGCCUCUCUAUAUAAAGGCUCAAGGGGGGUGCGGCCGGCCUAGGAGAGGCGCGCUAGGAGGAGUCCUACUCCCUCUGGGAGUAGGAUCCCCCCCCCCAAUCCUAGUUGGAAUAGGAUUCGCGGAGGGGGGAAAGAGAGAGAAGGGGGCCGCCCCCCUCAUCUUGUCCUAUUCGGACCAAGGGAGGGGAGGGGCGCGCGGCCCAUCUUGGGCUGCCCCUUCUCUUUUCCACUAAGGCCCACUUAGGCCCAUAUAGCUCCCCAGGGGUUCCGGUAACCUCCCGGUACUCCGGUAAAAUCCUGAUUUCACCCAGAACACUUCCGAUAUCCAAACAUAAGCUUCCAAUAUAUCAAUCUUUAUGUCUCGACCAUUUCGAGACUCCUCGUCAUGUCCGUGAUCACAUCCGGGACUCCGAACAACCUUCGGUACAUCAAAAUGCAUAAACUCAUAAUAUAACUGUCAUCGUAACCUUAAGCGUGCGGACCCUACGGGUUCGAGAACAAUGUAGACAUGACCGAGACACGUCUCAGGUCAAUAACCAAUAGCGGAACCUGGAUGCUCAUAUUGGCUCCUACAUAUUCUACGAAGAUCUUUUAUCGGUCAGACCGCAUAACAACAUAAGUUGUUCCCUUUGUCAUCGGCAGGUGACAAUGAAUGCAAGAAGGUCACGAGUUGAACCCAACAGGACAAUGAUGGAGUGCAAUAAUCCAUGUGGUAGGUCCGCCCAGCCUUCGGGUCCAAACAUGACACAGUGCACGGAGAUGGGGGUGUUGGAGCUCUGGUUGAUGUUUUGCAUGAUAUCAGCUCCAAAUUCUGCAUUAAGGAUCAUGAAAGGACAACAAUUUUAGCAAUGGACUUGAGUUAACUAUAUAAUAUAAAUUGUUGUCACUAUUUUAAUUCACUUGGUACUAAUACAACUAUGAUAAUUAUACAAACACAAUAAAAAUGUUUGUAGAAACUGUAAACAUAAUACACAAUAGAGUAAAGAUUAGGGUAUUGCCAUCCAAACGUGCAUGUGCCUCAAGAAAAUUCGAUCAUGACAAAAUUCAUCAACAUUUGAAAAUAAAAUGCAAGUUCUGUAUUUUUCUUUCCAUCGAAUGUUAUUUAUAUGUGUUGCACAACAGGUUUGGCUCUUGUAUCCACCUCGAUCUCGGGCCCGCACAUACGCGAUAAAUUUCAUCAACAUUUGAAAUUAAAAGGUGCAAGCAAUAUUGAAAUACUAAGAUUGUUCUACACUGAUAGUGGUAAACCCUUGAACUAUUUCAUAGUUUUCAUAUAGUAUAAACACAACAGGAUCACACAUCCACCAACAACACAUACACUCAAAUCCCCAAAUCAUCCGGUCAGGCUAACAAGAACAAAAGUGCGAUGAGCGCGUCAGAGGAGGUCACCCCCAAUGGGGGUGAUGGCGGGACAAGGAAGAUGAUCCUGGGCAGCCUUGUGCGGUGGAGAACUCUGUUUGACCGUGGACGGUGGCACCGGUCAGUGAAUAUAUAUACUCGGCCAACCCACGAGACCAUGUCCUACACAUAAAUUGACUUAACCUAGAUCACAUCGUAUCCUACAUAUUUGGGACUCAAGCUUGACUCAAACACGUGAACUCCUACUAGUAAAUCUACAUGACUUUGGUUAGUCCCCAAAGAACUAAAGCCACGUGACAUGCAAGCACCAACUACGUCAUGUUCCAAACAAAACAAUCAAGAUUAUGCUAACACUAGCGCCGGCCCCCUGCACCACCAAUGGUUGUCAUGGGUUCUCAACUCCAACAUGAGGUGGGGAAGGUCUCGUUCACGAUACCGGCAAUCACUCCAAAGCUGCGUGUAGGUACAAAUCAGAGCAAGGGGGCAGAACUCGACAUCAACUUGGUUCCUUCAUGAGUCCGGCAGCCAGCAAGGAAAAUGAAGUGGGCAAAGUCAACCUCAACCAGGCUCAUCCCCUACCCCCUGGAGCCGGUAACACGAAAGCCAAGCACCACAAAGAUAAGAAUAGCCUCAAGGGUAAGCCAAGGAAGGAGGUAGAUCAAUCCUUGGUGAACACCAGGGCGGUGUUGGGUAAAUGCAUGGGACGUGAAAAGUGAGUCUGGUAGUGAGUUUGUGACGACACCUAGUUACACGGGUCCUGGUCUGAACAAGAAGGCAUGAGGUGAGGGUAAUGGAGGUGGCAUGAGCAACAUAGGUCUGUUAGGUGGUAAGGAAGCUAUCGGCCCAUGGGUUGUCGAUGAAUGACAUGUGAUAAGGAAGGCACCUGUCAGGAGAAAUGAGUUGCCUGAUCUAGAACUGUUGGGGCCUCAGGCAGUCCCAGAUAGUUGAAGAGCUAGUUUUCCUCGUGCGCACAUACACCACUCGAUGAUUAUUUUACUUCUAAAACUCGACAAUGUGAAAUAGUUUCAAUAAUCUUAGGUGGAUGCUAGGCCGCAGGAAUUAUAUUACGCAUGAUGGUAAGGGCAAUGGUGCCAACAUUGCGUUGUUCUGAGAUGAAAGAACUAAAAUAAAAAAGACUGCCAUAUAUGACCUGAGGUACAUUGAUGUCUUUAUUCAAGAUGAUUCCCAUGGCCCGAAGUGUCGGGCUACAUGGUGAACCAAGGAGCCAGGAAGACGUUACAUCUGGAGUUUACUCAAAAGAAUAAAGCCAAAUGCUCAUGAACACUUGUUGAUGAUAGGUGAUUUUUAUGAGACGAUGUGGCAACAUGAGCACUUCUUAGUAGCUUGGAUAUCCGACAGAAAAAUACCAAUUUUAGAGAAGCCUUGUUCUAGUGUGAUAUUCAUAAUUGGGGCUAUAAGGGGCCAUCUUGGACAUGCGAUAAUAAACAGUAUGGCAAAAGCAAUGUGACCGUCGGGUUGAAAGUGCAGUUGCAUCGUCGGGUUGGUGUGAUUUAUUCAAAGUGAACAGUGGUACACACAUAUGCUCCAACCACUUUCCUCUAUGGCUGCAAUACGGGAGACAGACCAAGGUGCAUAGCAACGUGAAAUCCUUUCGGUAUGAGUAGAUAUGGGAAAGAGUACCGUCGAUGGAGAUUGAAGUCCCUGGACGAUGACUGCACUAAGUUGGGAGUGCUGCAACAGGAUGUUUGGUCCUGGACAUGAAAGAUUUUGGGCCAUGAUAAGGAGUACUCAUUGGCUGAGAAGGAAUAUUAUAGUCACAUACUAUAUGCACCAUCUUAUUGGUUGCGAACUGUUGAAAUAUAUUGCCUGCCUCCCUCCAUCAGUUCGGACUUUUGGAUGAGUUGGCUGGAGCAUGAAUUCAAUAUGGUAUCCGAGCCAAGAGGUCUUGAGUUCAAGACCCUACCGACGCAGUAUUAAAUAAAAUGAUUUUGCGGCCUACAUCGACCCCACGUCUAAGGACUAAAAUAACCUAGACGUGAGGGGGAGUGUUGAAAUAUAUUGCCCGCCUCUCUCCAUCAGUUCAGACUUUUGGAUGAGCUGGCUAGAGCAUGAAUUCAAUACGGAUGGUCUGGAAAGCAUCUUAAGAAAGCAAGUCUUGGAAGGGAGGUUAAUUGCUAGGGGAGACUCGGUGUCUCUAAACUAAUGUUUGUUGAUGGAAGCCUUUUGUUCUUCAAGGCCAUAGGAAGAGAGGCGAGGGUAGUGAAGGACACUCCAAAUCUAUUUCAAAGGUGUACAUGAUAGCUUCUUAGCCCAGCUAAAUGCUCUUUAUUAUUUAGUGAACACUGCCCGCAUGUCCAGUAAGAGAUAAAGGUAACCCUUGGUGUUGUAACUUCCACUUUUGAGAGUAAAUAUUUGGGUUUACCAACCCCAGAAGGUAGGAUGUUUGACUCGAAUUUCAAUCGAUCAUGGAAAGGUUCACAAAAAUGUGCAACGACUGGAUUAAAAAGUAUAUGACCCAUGCAGCUAAAGAGAUCUUGAUCAAGUAAGUGGUUCAAGCGCUUCUCACUUACUUGUUUGGAUUGUUCAAAUAUCCUUGGGCUUUUUUGAAAAGUUGGGCUUUUUGUGGUAAGUAUGAAAAACUUAUCUGGGACUUUAGGUGGGGCGGUGAGUAAGGACAUCACAAGUCCAUUGGCUCUCCUGGUACCAACCGGUAAAACAAAAGAGAGGAGAUGUUCUAGGAUUAUGGGAUAGGUAUAUGUUUAACCAAGCUCUCUUGGAAUGGCAAGGGUGGAUACUCAUUCACAAGCCGGAUAGUUUAUGUUCUAGAAUCUUGAAAUGAGAAUAUUAUCCUCGUGUGAAUAUUCUAGACAUGGUCAUUUCCUAUUAUGCAUCGCCGGCUUGGCGUUAAGAUACUCAAGCAAAUACAUCAUCUGGCGUAUAGAGAAUGGAUGAAAAAUUCAGAUUCAAAGAGACAACUGGAUUCUAAGAUAGUAUGGCCUCAGGUCACCAAAUUCGCUAGAAACUCGAGGUUGAGGUAGGUUAACCAGUUGAUUGUCUCAAUAAAAAUGAAUGGAAUAUUAACCUUGUCCAUAGGCUAUUUUCUGACGUCAAUGCAGAGGAGAUAUUUCGCAUAAAUCACCCUUCUACGUGAUGGAUAACUUGCUUAUAAACUUGCCACCCAACUCACAUUCAGGUACAAUUCCCCUGCUUCUAGCUCUUCAAGUGCGACAUAUAAUUGGAGUAUUUGGGGUGUGUUUUGGAGAGCUAAGGUUCCAAAGAAGGUUAAGGUCUUUGGCUGGAGGUUGCUACUGGCUCACUGGCUACACAAUUUUGUAAAUUUAUAAAGGUGCUGAGUGUAACACCAUUUAUGCUAUUUCUGGUAACAAUGUGGAGCUUGAAUUCCAAUCCACGAUGGCUUUGUGGUGUUGGCUAGUGUCCCAUCAAUACUUCUUUUUCCCACCUGUCUAAUGAUUGCAAUCAGUCUAUAGUAAUAUACAAGUCUAGUGUUUUCCUCCAAUAAAAUAAAAUAAACACAACUCGAAGAUGAACUAAAUUUUUACAUUAAUUUUCCUAGAAAAAAAUAGGGCGAGUUCUUCUCCUACCUUCUUUGGUGUUGACAGCGGAGGGCGAAGUGGAGGCAACAACUACAUUCUCCGAUGCCAGUCGUGGUAAGACGAGGCCAUCGGAUUCAGUAUGCUGCUUUCGUCCAUCGCCAAUCAUCAUGUUUCCUCCAGAUCUGGGGAAAACGGACGCCUUCGACCGCGGUGACUCCAGAUCUGGAUGUGACUAGUCGCCCGCACCUAGGAUUCCAGAUCUGGAUGCGACUGGUCGCCCGCACCUAGGAUUCCAGAUCUGGAUGGAAACACAUUAGUAGCCCACACGGUUCUCUCAACGCAUCAUCCACCACUCAACUGUGGGGCGGUUCUAGCGCAGUUGGUGUGGAUGUCAAGGGGGAGGGGAACGUGUGUGACGAGAAAGAGAGAGCGGGGGGAGGGGAGAAAGAGAGGAGAGGGAGAGAGUCGUGUGUGGGUUUGUUCGUUAUAUAAAAGGCUUUAUCGGAGUACCAAGGGGAACCUUGUCAAACUCCGAGUGAUUUUUCUUGCUUUUGGCAACUUUAUACCUUGAACAAGCUCUAUUACUAAGAAAAGAGGGAGGCUAGAUUGUGCAUGCUUGUGAAUCGUGCACUCGCGUUUCGAUAAGUUUUAUUUUCCAUUUGGGAAAGGGUGCAACACCUCCUUGUUCCCAUUAGAAGAUUAGGUGAAGGCUUAAUAAGAAAUUAGGGAAGGCCCACCCUGAAAUUCAAUAGGAGAAGAGAUUAGGUGGAGGCUUAAUAGGAAAUUAAGGAGCUCCCAUCAGGAAAUUUUGGUGCAGGUAGAUUAGGUGGAGGCUUAAUAGGAGGUUAGCAAGGGCCUACCCUACUAAUUCAAGGGGGGGGGGAGUUACAUGUACAUUAUAUGUGGGCCUGCAUACCACAACAAGACCUCCCGUCCUCACGUUUAAAUUGCCCCGCCCUCUCCCACUUGGUGGGCCCACUUCUCUCCUUGCCGCUCCCAAAAAAGCGUGUCGGCUGAGAGUUGUGCGUGUUGGUCAAUUUGCUCGCUGGAGCGAGCAAAUACCAGUGAGUCAAUGUGAGGUGCUCCCAACCGGCAAGAACACGAAUGACACCAUGCAACAUGCAUCGACCGACCAUGAUUCCUGCAUACAAAUAGUGAACAUCAGACACCAAUGCCCUUACCUCGCUGACCGGACACCCACGGCUCCACUCCCAAACACAGGAAUUGGCGUGAAGUACUCGAUGUCCUCCUAGAAUUCUUGUAGCUCUUCACCCCAUAUUUUUAUUCCUGUUUCUCCCUGUCAAUUAAGACCCCUCUAUUGGAUUUCCCUUUGGCUUGAGAAUGACGGUUGUGACCUCCAUAACAAUGCAACACUCGUCACCCGACUUCUCCUCUUUCUCCUAUGUGUCUUCCUUGCCGAUGAUAGCAAAGUGGACGACCCCAACGACGGUGAUAUCCGCUCGAUGCCAAGGACAUGCGCCGCAUGCGAGGGAAUAUAUGUGAUCCGACAUCCACAACACAAUCCGUAAGGACGAGUUUUCUUCCCAACGAAACCUUCUCUCCUAGCCAAAGAUGACAUCCCUCCUCGAUCUUCUCGUCGGCAUCCGCAGAAGCAACUAUCCUAAUGGUCUAUCGGGAUUGAGGACACCGGAGCGCCAUUCAGAUAUGCCACCAAGAAAGGCGAUGGAGAAGCUCGUUGACCAUUGCACAUGCAGGGAAGGGGGCAACCCAGUUUAGUAAAUUGUAAUAACGAGUUGUAGUGUGCAUCACAAUUAUUGCAUAAACAUCCUUUGAUUAAUUAUAAAAAGAGGAUAAUUCAAAACCUCAUAUAAAAUGCUAUAAAACACACUCAAAUAAUCAAUGCACUGGUAUAAUCCCGCUAAAAAAAUACUAAAAUAUUUACCAUAGUUUCCUUAGGGGGCAGUCCUCUCAUUUAACUAGGCAGGCAAACCCAAGAAGCAAACACUCAUGAGAGACAUAAGCAUUUUCUAGUGAAAAGAAAUAGUGUUGCCAACUAAAGAAAAAAGAAGCAUGCAUAUACUCCCUCCGUUCCUAAAUAUUUGUUUUUUUAGAGAUUCUAAAUGGACUACCACAUACAGAUGUAUAUGGACAUAUUUUAGAGUGUAGAUUCACUCAUUUUGCUUUGUAUGUAGUCAUUUGUUGAAAUCUCUAGAAAGACAAAUACUCCUUCCGUCCCAAAAUUCUUGUCUUAGAUACAUCCGUAAUAUAAAAAUUUUGGGACGGAGGGAGUAUUUAGGAACGGAGGGAGUAGAACACAUGGGCAAUGAUGUACAUCUGAUCUUUUCAAAGGUAUAUGGAGGGACACAAAUAUCAACAUAGAAUAUGGAAUGAGUGGAUCAAAGUUGACUGGGAGUAGAAUCAAUAUGCGCAACAUCGCAUCUUUGAAAGGUUCCAAAUACUCGCAGGCGUCAUUAGUAACAAGUGCAUUUGAAUUAUCACAUGGAAACAACAAAAUAUAUCCAACAAUUCGUUUUCUGGCAGUAUAACAGUGUUGGAUUCAUUGAGAAAUACUGAAUCAUGUUCAUCUAGAGCGUUCUCGUCCUCCUGCGACAUGGUGACAUCUAGGUUUUGCAGGACAAAGCAGGACGCCGAGCUAGUACUUAACCCCAGGAACAUGAGACCAUGCCGUGAAACUCGAAUAUUGUCCUCCGAAGGCUGCAACAGUCAGCUUGAGCCUUGAGGCCACACCGAGGAAUGUUCUUCUUUCUAGGGCCGAAGAUCCUCGCUCUGCUUGUUUCCGGAACCAUUGCUUCUCCAUGUUUGAUCAAAAUUAUGUGAGUGUCGCCUCUUCCUGAGCACUGUCCCUCUCGCUCAUUGCGCCCAAGAUAGACGAUUUACCCCGGAACAUGCAACCACCGUGAUGUGGAGCACGCACAAAAACUGAACCACAGAAAUGGACAACGUUUUAUGGGUAGUCAGCGCAUCUAAGUAAGCUAAGUUGAGACGUGUUAGCAUCGGAGUCGUUGUAGUAUAGUGGUAAGUAUUCCCGCCUGUCACGCGGGUGACCCGGGUUCGAUCCCCGGCAACGGCGAAUUUUUUGUUUCGCGGCCCAUGACAGGCCAGGCCGAUUCUUUUCGGCCUGCUGAGAGCUCGCCUGGCCCGUCCGGGCCUAUUUAUCGUAUGCACCCUCGAAAAGUAUCCCGUUCGCUCUAGAGCCCUGCCAAAACAUUUUCUGUCAUGCUACAAAUUUGUUGUUGCAAUGGCAAAGCAUGCGCGUGCAUAAGGACUACUCCCUCCGUUCGGUGAAGAGUGUACAUUUGGUUUUAGAAUUUGUCAACAAAAAAGUGUACGUCUAUCUUCCUAACACACUUUAAAGUAGAAAAAAUAAUUUUCUUUUAUCACAUGGCAAUCAAGACCAUUAGCAUUCUACAUAUGGUCUCCUUAAUUUCUACAUGCAUUUAGUUUAUUGGGGGUUGGGUAAUUAAAAAGAAGAGAGAUGGUAGUUUGCAUCUUCCCAAUGUAUUUUUACUCGCCUCCAUAAGUUGCCCUAAAAUUUAUAUAUGUACGCUUUUCGCCGGACGGAGAGAGUACUACUACAUUCUAGACAUUGUCUAAAAUGGUUAUAAUGAAUACCAUCGAUUUUGAUAAAAGAAACACUAGUUUUUAGUUCGUGUGUGUUACCCCUGGUUUGUUGGUUUUGCAGCUAUAUUGCUAGCUCAAAUUUAAAUGAACCAGUGUUAUAUUUGUAGAUCAAAUGAGUUAGUAUUGUAUGUUAUGCGUUUAUGUCGGUCUUUUUCUCCGAUUUAACCGGAAGAAAUUCUUAGAUUUUCGAAUUUGGCUCAGUCGAUUUCGUUGGGAAGGAAGAAGGAAGCGCGGGGCAGGGCAAAACGCCGUCAAGGCCUCAGCUAGGAACAAAUGUAGGCGGAGGCGAGUUCAAAGGUUAACGGUUCGGGGUGCAGACUUGCAGAGAAAUUUUAGUGGUUCGCCGGUUUAGAGGGAUGGCCAUGAUGGCUGGCGCCAACAUGAUGAUGAGGAGAGUGGGGUGGCGGAGGCAAGCAAUUUGGCCGGUGGUCAUGGACGGUUUGGCAAAGAAGAUGAAUAGGGGAGGACAGUAGGUGGAAGAUGACCAUCUGGUCGUUGGCUGGACGGUUCAGAAAAAUCAACCAACCCAAUCUUUUUUUUAUCGGCCAACCUUUGGUCAUCCUUUUUUUUUUCUCAUGAGUAACUGUGUCAAGGUGAUUCUUAAACCCCAAUCAAGGUUGGAAUAUGUUUUUGUUUGUUUUAUUCUCUUAAUUGCAUAAGUAGAAUAGAAAUAGAAUUUAAGCUAGACUCGUCUUCACUAGAAUCAUAAUCCUAAUCUAUGCUCAUGCAUAUUGUUAAUGUACUACAUUCUCCUAUCUGUCUGAUCGAAAUUAUGUGAGUGCCGCAUCUUCCUGAGCACUGUCCCUCUCGCUUAUUGGGGCCAAUAGAGACGAUUUACUCCGGAACAUGCAACCACCAUUAUGUGGAGCACGCAUGAAAAGAGAUCUAGAGGAAUGGAGAACGCUACGUCUAAGUAAGCUAAGUUGAGUAGCAUUAGCAUGUACUCCCCUUGUUUCUAAAUAUUUGUCUUUUUAGAUAUUUUAAAUGGACUGUCAUAUACAGAUGUAUAUGGACAUAUUUUAAAGUGUUGACAUGGUGUUUUCCACCCAACCCUGCACCUUGCUCCAUAAACGAUCUUUGAGGUAUUUAAAGGCCCCAUUCUUCGAACUCCCAAUAUCUUAUGGCAUCCCUAGAUACUUCUCAUUUAAAGUUUCAUUGGGUAUAUUGAGUAAAUCCUUUAUUUCAGUUCUGGUAGCCUCCGGCACCCCCUUGCUAAAAAAUAUUGAAGAUUUUGCAAAGUUCACUCACUGACCUGAUGCUUGACAAUAUGUAUUCAGUACUAGGUUCACCUCAUUAGCUCCUGCACUAUUUGCCUUGCAGAACAGCAGGUUGUCAUCAGCGAAUAACAGAUGGCUAAUUGGUGGCGCCGUAGGAGCCACUUGUACACCACCCAGAUUGGAUGACUCACUCUUUGAUUUUAACAGGCACGACAGGCCCUCUGCUGCUAGCAAGAACAAGUACGCAGAUAUUGGGUCCCCUUGUCUGAUUCCUCUUGAAGGUUGGAAUUCCUCCAGUCUCUUCCCAUUAAACAUGACAGAAAACUGUACAGUAGUGACCAGUCCCAUAACUAUGUCCACCCAUCUCUCAGUGAACCCCAGCUUUACCAUGAUUGCUCUCAAAUAUGGCCACUCCACCCUAUCAUAGGCCUUCAUCAUGUCUAGCUUCAGGGCAAAAGACUGGUGUUUUUUGGCUUUAUUUCUCUUCAUAAAAUGUAGGCACUCGUAAGCAGUGAUGAUGUUAUCAGUGAUUAGUCUGCCAAGGACAAAAGCAGACUGUUCCUCAGAAAUAAUGUUAGGUAGUACCACCUUAAGGCGAUUGGAGAUAACUUUGGAAGCAAUUUUGUAGAAAACAUUACACAAACUAAUGGGACGAAACUGGUUCAGUAGGGUUGGAUUUUUGACCUUGGGAAUCAACACCAAUACAGUCUCAUUGAUGCAUGUUGCCGAUUCUGUGCCCUCAACAAUUUUAAGCACGACUUUGGUGAUCUCGUCUCCCCAUGUCUCCCGGUGCUGCUGAAAGAAGUGAGCAGGAAAGCCGUCUGGUCCUGGUGCCUUAGUAGGAAACAUUUGAAAAAGAGUCGUCUUAACUUCUUCUGCACUGUACGGAGCAUUCCACAGCGCAUUCAUCGCUUGCGUCACUAGUAGAAAACAUGGCUUUGGUCACGGGGCAAUAUUCACAUUAGUCCCGGUUCAGUCAUGAACCGGGACUAAUGUGAGCAUUGGUCCCGGUUCGUGCGGCUAAGGCAUUAGUCCCGGUUCACUUGAGCCCUUUUAGUCCCGGUUUGAGACACGAAAUGAGACUAAAGGGUGCGAUGCCCUUUAGUNNNNNNNNNNGGUUUGUGUCUCAAACCGGGACUAAAGAUUAGACCUCUAGUCCCGGUUUGAGACACGAACCGGGACUAAAGGGUGCGAUGCCCUUUAGUUCCGGUUUGUGUCUCAGACUGGGACUAAAGGUCCCAUUUUCAAACUCUACCCCCCUGGAUCGCCUUUCUUGUUUUGAAAAAACCAAAAGAAAAUGAUAAAAACUUCAAAAAAUAAAAUCCUUCGAGAGGUAGUUAUAUUACUACAUCUACUAGUUAGGAAAAUUUAAAAACUGAAAUUUGGACAUGUUUUGCAAAAAAUGUAGGGAAAAUGUAAAACGGCUAUAACUUUUGCAUACGAUGUCGAAAAAAAACGUAUAAUAUAUCAAAAUGUUCAGAACAAAAAUCCGCUUCCGAUUUUGACCGCCUACGGCCUGUUUGCAAAUUUUUAGAAUCCUCAAAUUCUAAAAGGAAAAAAGUUAUGCUCAAAUUUCAGUUUUUUUUGUAUUUUCGUUAAAUCUGGUCAAAGUAUGGUCAAACUACUUAUUCAAGAAAUAUUAGUGUUAUUAAAUAAUUAUUCAAGAAUAUUAGUGUUACUAAAUAAUUAUUUUGGUUUUUCUGAAUUUUUGUCAAAUCUGGUCAAAUUGUGGUGUAACAAUGGUCAAACUAUGGUCAAACUAUUUAUUUAAGAAAUAUUAGUGUUACUAAAUAAUUGUUUCGUUUUUUUUUGAAUUUUGGUCAAAUCUGGUCAAACUUUGGUAAAACUAUUGUCAAACUAUUUAUUCAAGAAAUAUUAGUGUUACUAAAUAAUUAUUGGUUUGUACAAUAAUAGUUUCAAACUCAAACAGUGAAAUGUGUGACUUCAUGCUCAAGCUAAACUCUGAAGGGCUAAUAGGAUUGGCAUCUUACUAUUAUCAGGAAAACAACAAGUGCAGACUUGGAAACGAAGGAGAAUAGAACCUGAAAGUUAAGUGUGCUCGGGCUGGAGUAGUGAGAGGGAUGGGUGACCGGACGGGAAGUUAGAUGAUUCGGAAUGAUGAGGGGUGAUUAGAGAUUAGAGGUUAAAUUGAGCAAUGAUGAGGGGUGGGUGAUUAGAGAUUAAAUUAUAAAAUAAUUCGGAAAUUUGAAAAUCGAGAAAAAAAUUCAAUUUUUUUUUAAAAAAAAUUACCUUUAGUCCCGGUUGAUGUUACCAACCGGGACUAAAGGUGGAGCUGGUGGAGCUCUAGCCAGCGGCCACGUGGGUUCCUGAUUGAACCGGGACUAAAGGGUCAGGGCAUUAGUAACGAUCCUUUAGUCCCUGUUCACAAAACCGGGACAAAAGGCCCUUCCCAACCGGGACUAAUGACCCUUUUUCUACUAGUGCGUUACCUUGCAUGGUACUGUUUCGAGGACCCGUUCCAUGUCACCACCCCUUCUGUCGUGUACAAAUCUUUGUAGAAAGCAGUUGUCAUAUUUUCCAUCUCCACCACGUUUUCAGUAACCUGACCGUCAGCAAGCUGCAGCGAUUUGAUCUAGUUUUUGUGUCGCCUCCUGCUCGCUCUCAUGUGGAAGAAAUAGGUGUUUUUGUCGCCAUGCAUGAGCCAGUCAACCCUGGCUCGUUGCCUCCGCAAGAUCUCCUCACGGUGAAAAAGUUCAAUCAAGCGGUCACAUAUUUUUGUCUCCUGCCGUGAGGGGCCGGAGCUUCCUGGGAGUUCGUGCAUCACCUGUAUCCUUUUUUAAUUCAGCUAUCUCUCUAUGAACGCUGCCAAAAUGUUGCCGAUCCCAGGUAGCUAGGUCACCCGACAGCGCUUGUAGCUUUGUCUUCACCUGCACCACCGAAUCCCCCUGCACCUGGUUCCAACCCGCAUGCACCACUGUUUCCAGCAUCGGGUUGCGCUCCCAGCAUACUUCGUAUCUAAACGGUCGUGGCCCCCUUCUGCAUGCAUGCAUUGCUUGGAGCCUAAGCAUCAUAGGUACGUGGUCAGAUGUAGCAGCAGUAAGGUGCUCCAGAGAAGCAUCUGGGAAGGCCAGAACCCAAGCGGGAUUAGCCACGCCCUUGUCCAACCGCACCCUUGUGUACGUUACCUUUUUCUACUAGUGCGUUACCUUGCAUGGUACUGUUUCGAGGACCUGUACCAUGUCACCACCCCUUCUGUCGUGUACAAAUCUUUGUAGAAAGCAGUCAUCAUAUUUUCCAUCUCCACCACGUUUUCAGUAACCUGACCGUCAGCAAGCUGCAGCGAUUUGAUCUGGUUUUUGUGUCGCCUCCUGCUCGCUCUCAUGUGGAAGAAAUAGGUGUUUUUGUCGCCAUGCAUGAGCCAGUCAACCCUGGCUCGUUGCCUCCACAAGAUCUCCUCACGGUGAAAAAUUUCAAUCAAGCGGUCACAUAUUUUUGUCUCCUGCCGUGAGGGGCCGGAUCUUCCUGGGAGUUUGUGCAUCACCUGUAGUUCCUUUUUUAAUUCAGCUAUCUCUCUACGAACGCUGCCAAAAUGUUGUCGAUCCCAGGUAGCCAGGUCACCCGACUGCGCUUGUAGCUUUGUCUUCACCUGCUCCACCGAAUCCCCCUGCACCUAGUUCCAACCCGCAUGCACCACUGUUUCCAGCAUCGGGUCGCGCUCCCAGCAUACUUCGUAUUUAAACGGUCGUGGCCCCCUUCUGCAUGCAUGCAUUGCUUGGAGCCUAAGCAUCAUAGGUACGUGGUCAGAUGUAGCAGCAGUAAGGUGUUCCAGAGAAGCAUCUGGGAAGGCCAGAACCCAAGCGGGAUUAGCCACGCCCCUGUCCAACCGCACCCUUGUGUAUGUGCCGCCCACCACCUUCUUCUCAAAGGUCCAGCUCUGUCCCUUAUAACCAAUGUCAGAUAAACCGCACGUGUCAAUAGCGUCUCGGAAUACGUGCAUCUGUUCUUGGCUUCGCUGGCCAAUUCCAUCGUGCUCAUGGGCAUGAAGUACUUCGUUAAAGUCCCCAAUGACUAUCCAUGGAUCGUUGCUCAUUCCUGCAAUUCCACGCAACAUGUCCCAAGUUUUGUACCGCUCGCUUGUUUGGGCCUCACCAUACACAAAGGUGAUUUUGGUUUUGAUAUCUACCAUCUGUUCAACCAAAACGUCUAUGUGAUACUCAGAAUAACUGAUAACCUCGAGCUUUAUUUCCUCAUUCCAAAAAAUGCCUAGUCCACCACUCCUGCCGGAGCUGUUUACAACAAAGCUUUUAUUAUAACCUAGAGUUCCUACCAGAUUCUCAACUCGUGAGCCCUCUAACUGAGUUUCAAGGAUGCAUACAAUAGAGGGGGCAAGUUGCUUCGAAAGAUCUCGAAGCUCUCGAACUGUCCCGGGUCUGCCAGCCCCACGACAGUUCCAAACUAGGCAACUCAUUGCGCCAGGCGCGACCCGUUGAUAGGGCCCGCCGAUUGCGCGCUGUUUUGGGUGUUUGAGGGUUUGUUCUUCACUUGGUUCUUCUUCAACUGAGGUGGGUUGGUCUUCGUUCUUUUGGUUUCUUGCUUCGACGAAGGGCUCUGUGGAACAGUUUCUGUGGCAAGUGUUUGAGGUUCCAUCGAAGAUGAUGGGUUGGCUCCUGGAGCAGUAAGCAAGAGCGCAUUUGCAAGGGCACCUCUGUUGCGAUUCACUUCUCCUUCUUCCAUCUCUGUAUCCGGAUCAGUAGCAGGGUCAUAUUUAUCUAGAUGUGUUUGACCGAAACCACGCCCUACGUGUCCUGCACGGCCAUUGCCUCGCCCUCGUCCACCUUCCGAGCCUCUUGCCUCUCCUGGUUCGCGACCUGGUCCCCUAAACCAAUCUGCUUUCAGGUUUUUGAACACUAGCGCUGAUGGGGGGUGAACCCCAUCGCCGCAUUCUUUGAACGGAUGGCCUAGCAAUCCACAUAUAGCACACCAAUCUAGGAGCCUUUCAUAUUUCACUCUGUAAAUCUCUCUCUUCUUCCUGAUCACCAGCGAGACAGCGUUCUUGAGCGGCUUUGUGACGUCCACCUUCACCCGAACCCUAAAAAAGUUACCCUCAAAGUCCUGGGAUUUGGGCUCAGCAAAUAUGAAAUCACCCACCGUAGCAGCUAGCAAUUUAAUCAGGUGGAAGAACAAUUCAGGGAGAUCAUGAAUCGGAAUCCACAUCUCAAUUUUAUCAAGAACAAUGGACGAUAGCCUAGUGAAACCAUCAUAGGGCUCGAUCACGACCGCUUUCCCUUUGAAGGUCCAAGGGCCAUCGCCCAUGACUCUCUCCCAAUCUCCCGGGCAGGAGAAUUGCAAGGUAUAGAGGUUUUCUUCUAGCGGACGGAACUUGACCUCUUGCGCUAGAUCCCAUGCCACCCACAUGUUGUGAAAGAACCAGUACUGGCUGUACGGCUUGUCCGUGUGAACCCGCGCGAUCGCCAUCCAACGCGCUACUUCCUCUGGAAUAUCACCGUCCUGAACCAUGAUGUCCUCCAGAUCAUCUUCUUUCAGGCCUAGUUCCUUCAUCAUAGCCUCCAUCUCGCUCAUCGCUGCGGCUGAAGCCGACGUUGAGCCUUCCAUCAGAUCUCUUGCCCGAGAAGACGGUUUCCGCGGGCGGGAGGACCCAAGCCAGGUCACCCAGCACUCACGCACGCCAGCAAGCCUAAGCCGCCGGCGAUCGGUGGUCUGAGAGACGCAGGGGAUCGCGAUCUCCACGUCAAUGCCUAGGCGCCGCCGGGAGGAGAGAAAAACCCUAACUAGAGGGGAAUAUUUUCAGGUCUGUGUUCAAAAUAGUUGUUUUUAAGCGAUGCGAAGGUGUACCAUGGGCCAUGGCUAGACUAGGCCUGGCCGGCGUUAUAACCGGGAGAAGGAAAUAUCCAGGUGAAAAGAGAAAAAACGGAGCCCGCUAGGGUUUCCCUCCGCCGCCGCCGCCCUCCCCCGCUCCCGCCGCCGCCGCCCUCCCCCGCUCCCGCCGCNNNNNNNNNNNNNNNNNNNNNNNNNNNNNNNNNNNNNNNNNNNNNNNNNNNNNNNNNNNNNNNNNNNNNNNNNNNNNNNNNNNNNNNNNNNNNNNNNNNNNNNNNNNNNNNNNNNNNNNNNNNNNNNNNNNNNNNNNNNNNNNNNNNNNNNNNNNNNNNNNNNNNNNNNNNNNNNNNNNNNNNNNNNNNNNNNNNNNNNNNNNNNNNNNNNNNNNNNNNNNNNNNNNNNNNNNNNNNNNNNNNNNNNNNNNNNNNNNNNNNNNNNNNNNNNNNNNNNNNNNNNNNNNNNNNNNNNNNNNNNNNNNNNNNNNNNNNNNNNNNNNNNNNNNNNNNNNNNNNNNNNNNNNNNNNNNNNNNNNNNNNNNNNNNNNNNNNNNNNNNNNNNNNNNNNNNNNNNNNNNNNNNNNNNNNNNNNNNNNNNNNNNNNNNNNNNNNNNNNNNNNNNNNNNNNNNNNNNNNNNNNNNNNNNNNNNNNNNNNNNNNNNNNCGGCGGGCGCGCCCCGGCUCCUCCUCCCCCUCCCCUCCUCCCCCGUACCCCCCGCGUCGCCUCCCCGAGCGAGGCGGCCGGGGGCUCCCCUUCCCUGCCCCUCCCAGCGCCCCCCUCCUCCUUUCCCCUCCCGCCGCCGCCGGCGUAGGCCACUGGGCCUGGCUCGCGUGAUGCCGCCGGCGGCGGCCCUGUUCUCUUCCUCCCCGCGCGGCGCUGUAGCUCGGGCGUUGGCGCCGGCGGCGGUGCACCCAGGUCGGCUUCGGAUCCGGUGGCGGCUCGUCUUCGCAGGCGGCGCAGCUCCGGGUGGCAUGGUGGCGGUGGCGUGGCUGCUUGGCUGCGGGGCGGCGCGGUGGCUGGCGGCGGUGCCCUUCCGGCCCAGAUCUGGGCCCUUUUGGGCCCCAUCUGGGUCUGGGUGGGCCUGGCGUGUGCUUUCCGGCGUCAUCUCCGGCGGACGGAGGUGUGGCUUGGGCUGGGGGUGGCGGAGACGGUGGCGCGUGUACUGCAGCGCAGCGACGGGAGCUUCACGAGCCCGCUUCGGGCUCGGCCGGGCAGGGGUGCCUGGUUUGCUCCUAAGCUACGUCCGGUCGGUCACCGCCGAAGGUGGUGGAGGUUGUCCCCUCCCACGUGGCCGCUGACCCUGCUGCUCCUCGUUUUCGGCUGGUUCCUCUCGAUCCCGCCGGUCUCGCUUCGCUUGUCACGGUGAGACGGCGAUGGUGACUGCGUGUCCGUGGUGGCGCAUAUUGGUGGACGGCAAGUAUGGUGGAUCGCGAUGGAUCGUCUGGGGUCGUGGUUGGUAGGAGGUUGGGAGAAAUCCUUGUCGGCUUGUUCGGCACCGACGCGGUGACGCCCGUGGGCGUCGCCGUGCCUUCCUGAAGGGCGUCGGAUAUCCCCCUUCCUCCCACGGCCCUUCGCGUACCGGGGGAAACCCUAGGCCAUGUCCGGUAGCAGCGUCGUUGUCGUCGCGUUCCUUCUUGAAGGUGUUACUUGGUAUGCGGCGUUUCGUGGUGCUAGGAGCGUGGUGGAACUCUCCGGCGGGCGCAGCGGUGGUGAGUCAUCUUCGUUUUUGUUGAUCCGCCGUUGUCGGCAUUUUUUUUUCCUUUUGUGUUUUCUCUUUUUUUUUUCUUUUGGGCGUGCCUGUGCUGCUUCCGCCCCAGCACCUAUCGUGGGUUGUAUCGAUGUUGUUGCUUUGUAAUACAAAGCGGGGGGAAACCCUUUCUCGGCAAAAGAGAAAAAACUGAUCUGUAGUUCUGUACCGUACUGCUUUACAGGCCGCGCUGCCCAUCGGAGACGCGCAUGGAGAUCGACGCGCAUCCUUCUUCCUCAGCCUCGGCUGCUGCUGCGUCCUCGUCCUCGUCGCCUACGUAAUACCCCCAACCCCUAUCUCGUCCUGUACUCCUCCAUAUCUCUCUCUCCCUCUUGUUCUGCAUCCCGUUUCCGUUCACCUGCGGAUGUUGAAUCAGAUCCGCCUACAUCUGCAAGAUUAAUCACACCUCAAUAUAUGGAACUAAAUUGGGUAGAUAUAGUUACAGUUUUGCUAAAGCACAUCUAGAUGUGCCAUAAAUAUUGCACAUCUAGGUCCUAAAGUCAUUGAUCUUACACGGAGAUUCCUGUGGAUAAUUUCUUUUUUCUUUUUCUUUUUCUUCUUAUGGCUUGAUUGAGUCAUUUAGAUGUGCAAUAACUAGGGCACAUCUAGUUAAGUCGUAGAUGGAUUCUGCUUAUUCUCGAAGAAGAAAAACAAUCCAGAUUGAGACUUUCCCUGCUUUAGGUGUCCAACAUUGCAGCUAAUAACGGAGGGAGAACCAUAUGUGCUCUGCUUUCCUUUUUCAGGCAGAAUCAACACUUGCCAGAUACAGUAUUAAUUUGAGAAAUAGGCGAUUUGUGGUUUGUAUUGUUCAGUAGACGCGAAGAAUUAUAUGAAACUUUAACAGGCCGUCUAUCUACCGCGUAGCUUCUACAUAGUUGUUAAUUUUAUUCUCAGGAGCGACAACGUCAGUAUUUUUUGUUAAUUUUAGUGUAUGAUGCAAGUGUAGUGACGUGUUGAUGUUGGAACGAUACACACAAGUCGUGUUUUCUGAAUCUUGGUAGCUCCUGUUUCUUUUUGUACAACUACACCUUGCUGCGCAUGUCUAACCUUUUGUCCUGAAUUUUAUGUGUCGCCAGGGAGAGCGCUGUCAUGCAAAUCAGGGCGAAGAGAACCUGCUAUGCCGCUGCCUCAUCUGAGGCACGAGGAUGGGCCGAGCUCCCGGACGACUUGCUCCGACCCAUCGUUGCUCUCCUCAGCUCGUCGUUCCGCGACCUCCUCGCCUUUGGUUCCACCUGUCAUCCCUGGCGUGAUUUCUCAGCGCACACGUCCUCUUUGUACCCUCUCCUCCUCCACCCGAGUACCGACCGCCAACAGUAUCCCUGGUAUGACUAUGACUACUGGACCCUUUUCCACGAAUGCACGUGGAGAUUGGCUGAUCCUGCUGCCGCCUCAUCCUAUCCCAGUUUGCUUUCCUUGAGUGAUCUCAGGGGAAUGUUCUUUCUGCGCUGCUCCUACGGUCACCUCAUCUUCUUCGACAAUAAGGGGUUCUACAUUGUUAAUGCGUUCAGUGGCGCUAAGGUUGUGCCUCCUUGCCUCAAGUCAGACAACUUCAUUCACAUUAGCUAUGCCACCUUGACUGCCCCUGUUGCAUCCGCUGACUCGCAUCUCCUUGUCGGCAGCGGAGGCUAUCUGUUUCAGUGGCGCGUCGGGAGCGACUCUUGGUUGGAACACUAUCCUAAAGUUCCUUUUCUUACGAUUGAACAAAUUGUGGCCUUCAAAGGCAAAACAUACACCCUAGGGUCUUUUGGGUCCUUCUGCAUCGUACAAUUUUCGCCCUGUCUCUUAGUUCAGAAGUUUGAAAUUAUGUUUGAGGAAGAUAGAACUGAAGAUCGCUAUUGGACAAAUCAAAAAACAUGGCUUGUGGUGUGCGACGUGCUUCUCUUAAUCAAACUUGAGGCAGUAAAAAGGAUAAGCUCUGAGGCUUUCCAGUUCAAGGCCUUCAAGCUCAAGUCGUUGGACGCCAAGAACAAGAAAGCAAGGUGGGCGAAGGUGGACAGGUUGAAUAACUGGGCCAUCUUUGUCAGCGCCGACGGGCGAUGCGAGGCGUUGUCGUUCAUGAACCCGGAGAGAUGGGGAGGGAGGAGCAACCACAUAUACUUCCCAAGUUAUGAGUCUGAACGACCUUGGGCUGCAGUGCAACUAUGGCAAAAAGCUAACAACCAUUCGACAAGUUCGUGGCUCUCGAAAACUGGAAGCCAGUACCACAGAUUGGUGCCAACCUGGGUCCUCCCUAGCGCAUAUCCUCGCUCUGGUCAGCAAUGAUCUUACGGCCAUCGCAGGCGUGGUUGGUGAUUGUCCUCUGAUACAGCUUCCCUGGGAGAGUUCUACCUUGUUUGGAGCAGUUACAUGAUGAGUAGUUUUACUGAAUGUUCUUAACUUUUUUUCUAAACUUGCAUUGCAAACAGAAGCUUUCACUGUAGAGUUAUCUGAUUCUGCUUUUUUUUUGUGGGAUUAUAAGGGACCUUAUGUUUUAUUGCUCAUCUACUACAAAUUACGGAGAUUACUUGUACUUGCGCCACUUGAUAACUUUGGGUUAGGCCUGCAACUUACUUUUAUACUACACACAUAAGGUGUUCAUCUAGGAGACUAGGACUGAGCCCAAAAAGCAAUUUCCUAAUAAACUCGCUAGUAUCUGUGCAGUGCUCAUUAUUCAUCAAGUUAUAAGCUUACUGCUGUUCU